rnacentral:lncRNA from 1 species
GAGAACAUUAUACACAAAUUUUAACUUCAAACCACACAAAUAUUCAUUUAUUUGCAUCACACAUAAUAUAAGAUACACUCCUCAAGACAUCACCGACACAUUUAUUCGAUACAAACAAAGGAUCAAGGGAAGCAAAUAUGCAUGUUUAUGCUACAUGCCAUUAUACAAACAUCAAACUAGCUUUUAUUUUAUUUAUAAACUCACUCUAGCCUAUUAUAAAGAUGAACACUUCAUUAUUUAUAUGCUCACAUUUAUCCAUAAAAGUCAACCCAUUGAUUGAACUAUAACUCCAUAUUUAAAUAAUGGCUUAUAGAGCUACAUUUUCCCCCUUGACAAGAUGACCAUCAAUAUCUCUAGUGCAUUUGCUAAGGUAGUCCAUCCAGCCAUUGGGAGUAUCAAUAUCCUCAUUUUUCUUCUCAUAACCAAUAGUCCAUCUAACAGCAGAACUUCCAUUAUCCUUGAUAAUCACUUCUAAGAUAACGUUAAAGACCUUAUAGUUUUCAAUAUCUCCACCAAACAGCUUGAAAGUGAUUUUUUUGUUCUCCUCAUCAACUUCUUCAACCUGCUCAUUGCAUGUGUGUACCUCGCCAUCUGUUGUUAUGUCAGAGGCAAUUAUAAUACCAAAAUAUAUAGCAAUAAAAUACGCUUUUUUUCUUCUAAAGAAAAAUACAAUACGUUUUUUUAAUAGGAAUAUGAAAAAGAUUAGUUUCACCCCAAAGAUAAAAAUAUUUUGAUAAGGAUACAUUAUUUCUAAAAAUAAAAUAUUUUAUUGUUUUUGUUAUAUGGAUACGUAUUUUUGUUCUUGAGAUGUUAGGUUACCGAUGAUAAGAGUGUGACUUUUUAACCUCAAAGAACAAAAUUAAAAGGGGAAUGCUAACGAGUGUCUUUGAUGCAUUGGUUAAAGUUUGGUAAAAUUACACAAUUGGUCUUUUAACUUAAUUUUAAGUAUCAAUUUCGUCCUUUAUCUUCUUUUUUUUGUCACGAUUUAAUCCUUUAUGAUAUAAAAUGACAACAUGGUUAUCCUUUUUUAUGAAAAAAAUAAUCAAAAACUCCAAAAAAAAUCAUCAAAACACAUAGACAAACGCAAAUCUUCAUCAUACAAGCCUAUAAAAUCAAAUUUCAUUGAAAAAAUCUCAUAAGAAAUGAUAAAAUAUUGUCAUUUUAUAACAUAAAGACUAAAUCGUGACAAAAAAUAAAUAAAGGACGAAAGUGUUACCUAAAAUUAAGUUAAGGGACUAAUUGUGUAAUUUUGUUGUUAAAGUUCUCAAAUAGGUAAGUUUGCAUUAAAAAGUAGUGUAAUUAUUAGGCUAAAGUGCACUUUCCCCUCCAAAGUUUCAAAAAGUUGUGAUUUUGGUCCUAUGUACAAAAACUACAAUUUUGGUCCCUAACAUUUAACCUCUUUAUAUCUUUGGUCCUUUUGGCCAAUUUUGAUCGGUCAAUGCCUACAUGGCACGUCACGUGUGUAAUUAUUGAAUUAAAGACAAAAGUAAAGUCUUGUAUUUUCAAGACAAGGAUUCUAUUAAAAAGUUUCUUGAUCAAUAUUCUGAAGGCACUCGUUAGCAAGACCCAAAUUAAAAUCUGAUAUAAAAUAGUUUGUAAAAUGAUUAUUAGUGUCAUCGCUACUAAUAAUAAUUUUGCUUUUUUCUUCUAGUGACGCUAAAAGUUUGACCUUUAAAAUUUCAAGGAAUUACAUUGGCACGCUAAUGAAACAUUAAAAAAAUGUUUUACGAGUAAAUUACUACCAUUAUUGUUGUAAAGAUACGCAUAAAAAAAAUAUUUUUAUAAAAAAAUAAAAAAUAGUGUAAUUGUAUUUGUAAUUUAAUCAUGUGUUUAACCACACUUCCAUCAUCAUGCCGCUUUGUAGAUUUACUUUUUUUGUUUAUCUCCUCCACUAUUUUAAUGUGGCCUUUAAAUUUUAUUUUUUUUUACAUAAUAUUUAUAUAAAAUCAAUUUUGUAGAGAUCAAAAUUUAAUUUCAUGAUCAAGAGUAAUUGAGGUCUUUUUGGUAAUCAGUUAAGCUAUGCAAAUGUCUUAAAUUUAUCUGUUAUAUAAUAUACUUAUAACCAAAUUAAUUUUUUAGAGAUUUUUUUUUUUUUCAUCCAAAAUUUUGAGGCCUAUAACCCUUGCUUGGGUUGCUUGGCCCUUAGACCGGCCCUGUUCUGCAGGUAACCGGUAUCCUGCAGAUUCUGCUAAGGAUUUAGGUUCUCAGAUAAUACCUUCAUCUUUAAUUGUUUCCUUGGGAUCUUAGGAUCCGCAAGAAAGGUAUAUCCGCAGAAAAUGUGAAAAUAUCCCGCAUAAAACAUUCGGUCAGUUUUCAAGGAGUUUCCUUCUGCCCGUUAGCACUUUGCUGCAAACAUACUCGCAGGUAGUUCUGCAACAAACAGCACAGCAAAAUCCGCAGGAAACGAUAACGAUAACGAGAACAACAACAAAACUCAUGGGAAAAUCCUAGGUACGUACUUGGCUGCGGAACGUAUAUUAAUGGUUUAAAUUUGGGAAUUUAUAACGUGCUCCUCUCGCUAGGUUUCAAGUUCAAAUUAUCUAGAUACUAAUUAUUCUUGUAUUGAAUAGUCCAUACAAAAUUUUGUUCAGAUUUCAAUUAGCAUCUUUUGCUUGUGAACAAUGAAUUAUUUUUUUUUAGUAGGUAAAUUAUUGCCUUUGUAGGUUCUUUAGGUUCAAAUAGUUGUCUUCAAAAGUAUAACUUUUCCAACCAAGUUGUUUGGGCUCCAGUGGCAAUGAGCUCCUUCCAAGGAUGUACUCGGGGAAUACUGGUUUGAUUCCCAGGGGAACAACACUUGGCUAGUGCACAUUCCUCUACGCACAAGUUUAAUUAAUCGCCCACCUUGGUGGGUCGGAAACCGGUGCGAAAGAAAAAAAAAGUAUAACUUUUCCUUUUGUCAAAAAAAAAAAGUAUAACUUUUCGUUGACAAAUCAAAUCAGAAAUCUUUUGUGAUCAUUUAAAAAAAAGUAAACAUAAAACUUUUUCAAAUCAAAUAAGAUGAUGAUUUAGUUAUCAGAUCAAUUGAAUUGGAAACAUAGUUACCUAUGACAAUAGUCCAGUGUUUAACCGAAUCAUUGUGAUGCCAAUCUUCACCUUCAUGAAGCUUGGCAUGAUGAAUUCUUUCACAAACUUUUUGCACUUCGUGGAGUUCUGAUGCAAAUAGUUUGAAGAACUUCUCCCCUGGUGCUUUAAUCCCAAGUUCAGUGAUAAGUUUACCAACGAGCACCAUUUUUGGAAAGAAAAAAAAAACUAAAUACACAAUAAUAGAAAGAAAGAGAAGAAAGAAACAAAAUAAGGGAUGUUUUAUGAUAUGAUGGUUUAUGAAACCACAUGCCUUAAAUAGAAAUUUGAUUACACUGUGCAAAUUAAAUUAUGCGGUCCACUACUUGAUCCGUGCUCCCCCAACCCAUUAAUUAUUUAUUUUUUAGGAAAAGAUGCUCGUAGCAUUUGAUUAAUAAUAAGUUGUUUAAUAUAACGAGGUAUAUGAUAACAGAUACUGGGACUAGCUAGUAAUGGUCAGUCUUCGUUAGGAUAUGAGCUACCUCAUUGGAAUUUAACCUAUUAAACUUGACCUUGGAGUUUUUAAAAUGAGAAAAAUACAAUCUUCGGCAAGCAAAGAGGAUACACCCAGUCUCCGUAACAUUAAUCUCAUCCUAAUGAAAGGCAUUUACAAUAACUUUUGAAUAUGAACUGAAGUCGACAUUAUCAAAAGCCAAAUUGCUCAUCCACUCCAAUGCAUAGAAUAAAGCCAAUGUUUCCCCUACGGGGACUGAACACUUGGCAAAAUAUGAAUAAAUUUAGCAAGCACAAAAGUACCUUCCUCGCCGCGAAUGCAAAUACCUAUUCCUUUUCAAUUCAACUGGUUGGAGAAAGAUGCAUCAAUGUUGCAUUUAACACGACCAUGAGCUGGUGGCUGCCAUCUUAACAUGGUUACAUCGGAACUUCUCACCUAAGUGUUCUCAUUUCUGAAGCUUGUCACUUGCAUGGCUUGGUGUCGCUGUUAAAUUAAUAUUGUCACUAUUUUGUUGUGUUGUGUGUGGCCCCUUCUGAGUUGCAGUAACCGCAUUCGCCAUUUUCCAAUCCUCUACCAUACAUACAACCCUGUCCAUCACCUGUGCAGUCGUUUUCGUGAUGUCCUGCCACAACUUGAGGUCUAGUGUUUCGACAUGCUCCAAAUGCUUAUUGCAAAGCGCGAGCAUGAUCAUCUGCCAUAUCAUCAAGCAACUUAAAAAUACAAUCAGUUGUUGAACCUAUCUGAAUAAACAUCCAGUUCACCAUAUCCCAAAGUCCGCUACAAUUCCAAAUUAGAAUAGCAUAAUAGUAGUUGAAAAAAAUAUGAUUAAUGUUAAAAGUGACUCAAAAUUGAAGUUUGAGAAUCUACCAAAAUAGUAGCACAAUUUGGAAAAUCGUAGCACGUUUUUUGGACUAGAUUUGGCACUUCCCAUUCUGGAAAAAUCGUAGUACGUUCUGGCAAAAUUGCAGUACGAUUUUACGCUGAUGCAGAAAAAUAGAAACAUAUUUUCAGCUUCAGAUUUGUUCCAAAUUUUGAGGGAUACUUUUACUAUAAAUAUAGACCUUGUAUCAGAUGCAAAACAUGUAGAGAGUAGAAAAACAAGGUUUAGAAAUGAACAACAAACUAAGGUUUAUAGAGAUUUCUCUAGGCAACAAACACUAUGGUUGGGAUUGUUUUGAUUCACCUUGAACGAAACACUAUUAGGAUUGAAUCUCUUGAUCACGGGAAGAGAUUGAGACUUUGGGUAGAAUUAGGUUUGAAGACUAAUUCUUGUAACCUUUGAUAUCUCUUUUGUAAAAUCAUUAUAGUGGAAUGGAGGGCUGCUCUCUCCCCCAGACUAGGUCAGUAUUGGACCAAACUGGGAAAACUAAUUUUCAUGUGUUCUCUCUUUAUUUCUCUCAUUUUUUCUACUCUUGCUUGUGUUUAUAAUUGUCACCUACAUUGUUUUGGUUGCUUAAUUAAUUUUUUCCACACAUCAAGUAUUUUAUUGGUGUGAUUUUUUAACGAAUUCACAACAUAUGGCGCCCACCGUAGAGCAAGGGGGAUAUUGACAAGUGGGAUAUUGAGAGGUUAACUGGAAGUAACAAUUUUGGGUUAUGGAAGGUCAAGAUGGAAGCGGUUUCGAUACAACAAAAGUGUGCACAAGCUUUGAAGGAUGAAGGUGUGUUACCGAUCACCAUGUCACAAGAGGAGAAGACUGAGAUGGUGGGCAAGCCCAAGAAUGCCAUUGUCUUUUGCCUCGAGGAUAAAGUUUUAAGUCAUUUAGCGAAGGAACCAAUCGCGGAAUCGAUGUGGUCAAAGUUGGAGUCUUUGUACCGCGGAAUCGAUGUGGUCAAAGUUGGAGUCUUUGUAUAUGACAAUCUCUUUGGCUCAUCGGAAAUUCCUAAAGCAACAACUCUACUCAUUGAAGAUGUUGGAGUCAAAGUUCAUCAUGGAGUAACUUACGAAGUUCAAUACAAUCCUUGAUGACUUGGAGAAUAUUGAGGUGCAUCUUAAGGAUGAAGAUAAAAUUAUACUCUUCUUGUGUGCUCUACCGAGAUCAUUUGAAUCUUUCAAGGAUAUCAUGCUUUAUGGCUAAAAAGGCACUGUCACCUUGGAAGAAGUUCAAGCUGCUUUGAGAACCAAGGAGCAAACCAAGUCCAAGGACUUGAGAGCUGAUGAAAACGGUGAAGGCAUAUCUGUUUCAAGAGGGAAUGGUGGAGGUAUAGGUAACCAAGGAAAGAGUGGUAACAAGUCAAAGUUUAAUUGCUUUAAUUAUCACAAGAUGGGUCACUUCAAGAUGGAUUGUCCAUAGAACAAUGGUAACUCCGCACAAAUUGUCUCCGAGGGUGAUGAGAACACGGGUGCUUUGAUGGUGUCUCGUUGGGGUGAUAAAGAAAGUGAUGUUUCUCACCUUGGGAAUUAUGCCUUGUAGAGCGGUGGUCGUCUGGAGAGACAUUAAACAUUCAACAUCACCCUGGAGAGGCGGUCGAAAGAAUAGUCAUGGUCAGUCUGAAGAGGCGGAGGUAAGAAUACUCAUGAUCAACCUUUGAGGUGGAGUUGCAAGGUGAAAGACAUAGUGUGUGUGAGUGUGUGUGUGUGUGUGUGUGCGCGCGCAUUUGCUAGUUGAGGUAGAGAAAGCUCACCUUGAGGUGGAGUUGAUGACAUUGGACAAAGUAUGACUAUGGAGACCUUGGGUGCUAGGCUCUAGUUGUUAGCAAGAGAAUUCUUCAAAAAGACGGAAGGCAUUUCGGAUUUUGAAGAAUGUAUGACAUGACUUGUGUGAUUAUCUAAAAGACCAAGGAUGAUUGGAUACAAGGUGAUCUUCAAGGAAGUGUGAGACUUUAGUGGUUGAAGAGGGUUUGGUGUAGACUUGUGGAACUACCUAAAAUUCCUAGUGUAGUUGGAUGCAAGGAUCUUCAAGAAGGCGGAAGGCAUUCCGAUGGUUGAAGAGGCAAGGAUGGAAACUUGUGGAGAUACUUGGUGUAGUUGGAAGCAAGGGAAGAUGAAGGGUGGAGAGAGUAGCAAGGUGAUGAUUGUUAAAUUGACAUCAUCACUAAUUUAGAGUCAAGGUGGAGAAUAGUUGAAAGUGACUCAAAAUUGAUGUUUGGGAAUCUGCCAAAAUCACAACACGAUUUUUGGACCAAAUUUGGCACUUCCUAUUCUGACUGUGCAUAUCUGAUUAUGUGGCGUUUCUGCCUAUUUUUUUAGUGAGAAGAAAUGCAACAAGGAAUGAGGAAAUGAAGAAGUAAACUUCUACCUAAAUUGCAUCACUGGCUAUGAGACCUGCACCACGAGAAAAAAUUUGGAAAUCAAAGUGAUCCCUUUGGCUAAAAGGGAUGCUCAAUACCUACCUCACAUCGCGAGGAUAAGGCUCGGAUCCUACACUAAUUUUCUUGAGGGAAAUGGAUGCCUAUAAAUACUUAACCCUAUGUUAGUAGGAAAAACACCUUUUGACGAACAUAACAAGGUAGAGCGACCAGAACCCUUUGGAAGCCAAGGAAAAGUGAUUCGGUGAUCCUUUUCUUAUGUUUUAUUGUUCAUAUAUAAUUAUAUGUAUUUAGAAGUCAUGAGUUUCUAAAUCCUCUAUAGGUUAGGUCGUAAAAGAGGAAUUUCCCUGUAAUUAUUUAUUCUUGUAACUUUAAAUGAUUAUAUGAAUUUUACUCAAUUACUUUACUAUUUUAUUCGGUUAAUAUUAUUGUUAAUGUUUUUAAUGUGUUCAUUGAUGUUCAUAAAUCAGUUUAGGCCAUGAUGAUUAUUCCAUAACUUUGUGUCUUGACCUAAUGCAACCAUUCAAUUAUCAGAUAGGUACAUACAUAAAACAAUAAUAAUCACUACUUACUUUGUCAUUCAUAAAUCUUCAUUAGUUAGGGCUCACCUAAGACAAUAGGGAACAAUAAACAUUGAAGAGACUAAGGCAUUGACCUAACUAUUUUGUUCAAAGGUAUUAAAAUCGAGUAAUCAAUAGCAUUAUAUUCAUAGUUUGUAAUUAAAACUAAUCACAUUGCAUGGUGCGAUUUUGUUAUUUAUAUAAGAGCAUAUCAUUAUAUGUAUACACUAGAUUUGAAUGUAUAUAUAUAUAUAUAUAUAUGUAAAUAAUUAAUGCAUUAGGUUCUUCUUUUCUUUAAUUUUUUAUGAACAAAUAAUUGCAUUAGAUUUGUUUGUCUGCAAAUAUACAUAGAGGACAAAUAAGUGUGGUAAAGGGAACCCAACAACUCUGCGUACCCAUGACAAAAUUAUUAAACAGACAAAGAUACCAUUAUUCACACCCAACAUAUCCCAAUAUCUGGACCAAUAUUUUUUUAUACACAACUAUCUCGUCUUGCUUAAGAGCUCAAAACUACUUACAAUUUAGACCAAUCUAUUGCUAAUUUUUGUAACUAAAUUCUAUUAAUGGACAUUUCGUCUCAAAUUACCUUUAUAAUCUAUUUAAAGGUAAACUAUACAAUUAUUUCUUUUAACUUAUGUGUGGUUUCAAUUUGGUAUCCAACUAUUUUUUAUUUCUUUUUAAUUUCCUAACUAUAUAUGAUUUAGCAUGUUAAUCUUUUCAACUAAUUUUUAACCUGAAUUAUCUAAAGUGGAUGAACAUUAUAGCAUCAAAGUGAAAACCCAAAAUAAUUUAAGAGACCAAGUAUCUAAUUUAGCACAGCUCUUGUCAAAGGGAAAGAAUUGCAUUUUUAUCAAUGUGAAAUUACAUGUUUAUCCUUCAUUUAUUUUUUAUUUUGUCAGUGACUCCUCUGUGCUGUUUAGCAUAAGUAAUCAGCUCAUAAUAAUGUAACUAAACUACUACCUCCGUCCCUAAUUAUAGGGCUCUUUUGAAAAAAUAACGGGAAUUAAGAUAGUGGAUAUUUGUAUUAAAUAUGUUUGUAAUUACUAUUGCUGAUUGAAGAAAAAUAUGUAUAAUAAAUAGGGGCAUGUAUAUAAAGAAAUAAUUAAUAUAGUUGGAAAUAGUAAAAGAGUCUUAUAAAAAAGGACAAAUUAUAGUUUUUCCAAAAGAGUGUUAUAAUUAGAAACGAAGGUAGUACAUGUUUUAGCAGCACGAUCAAGAUUUGGCAAACUAAACCUUAAAUAAAUAGAACAUUAUACACAAAUUUUAACUUCAAAGCACACAAAUAUCCAUUUAUUUGCAUUACACAUAAUAUAAGAACACUCCUUAAAACAUCACCGACACAUUUAUUCGAUACAAACGAAGGUUCAAGGGAAACAAAUAUGCAUGCUUAUGCUACAUGCCAUUAUACAAACAUCACACUAGCUUUUAUUUUAUUUAUAUGCUCACAUUUAUCCAUAAAAGCCAACCCAUUGAACUAUAACUCCAUAUUCAAAUAGUGGCUUAUAGAACUACAUUUUCUCCCUUGACAAGAUGACCAUCAAUAUCUCUAGUGCUUUUGCUAAGGUAGUCCAUCCAACCAUUUGGAGUAUCAACAUUCUCAUUGUUCUUCUCAUAAUCAAUAGUCCAUCUAAGAGCAGAAGUUCCAUUAUCCUUGAUAAUCACUUCUAAGAUGAGCUUAAAGACCUUAUAGUUUUCAAUAUCUCCACCAAAAAGCUUGAAAGUGAUUUUUUUGUUCUGCUCAUCAACUUCUUCAACCUGCUCAUUGCAUGUGUGUACCUCACCAUCUGUUUGUUUUGUCAGAGGCAAUUAAUAUCAAUAACAAUCAAAUACAUUUUUUCCACUAAAAAAUAAUUAAAUACGUUUUAUAAAAGGAAUAUAAAAAAGAAUAGUUUCACCAAAAAAAAUUACUCCCUCAUUAACUUUUUAUAAGAGUAUUUUAUAUAAACCAGGUAUUAGGAAAAGUUGUUGGAAUAACAAAGUGACUUCUUUCUCAAAAAAAAUAAAAGAAAGUGACUUCAAAUAUGUGUGACCAUUACUCGGUUACACUUAAUUAAAUAUAUAUUUAAUGUUAACUUUUCAUAAAGCAAGACAAAUGGUUUUUUCUAGAUUACCCUCUCAUAUUUAGAGGGUAUUUUACUCUCUCAUGAUAUCAACCAAUCAAAAUGUAAUAUGACAACAUUAAAUGUCAUAAAUGAGUCAACUUUUUUCUAAAAAAAGAAUCAAUUAUAAUCAUAUGGUAACUUUUAAUACUUUUAAUUUUUAUUUAAUUAUAGAUAUGAUUACAUUAGAGAUCCUUUAUCUUAUUUAUUUGUUACACUUGGGUCAUUUAUCUUUAUUUUUUUUCCGCUUAGGUCUUUUAUCUCUUAUAAAAGCACAUAUACAUCAUUUUUCUCAUUUUUUUUNNNNNNNNNNNNNNNNNNNNNNNNNNNNNNNNNNNNNNNNNNNNNNNNNNNNNNNNNNNNNNNNNNNNNNNNNNNNNNNNNNNNNNNNNNNNNNNNNNNNNNNNNNNNNNNNNNNNNNNNNNNNNNNNNNNNNNNNNNNNNNNNNNNNNNNNNNNNNNNNNNNNNNNNNNNNNNNNNNNNNNNNNNNNNNNNNNNNNNNNNNNNNNNNNNNNNNNNNNNNNNNNNNNNNNNNNNNNNNNNNNNNNNNNNNNNNNNNNNNNNNNNNNNNNNNNNNNNNNNNNNNNNNNNNNNNNNNNNNNNNNNNNNNNNNNNNNNNNNNNNNNNNNNNNNNNNNNNNNNNNNNNNNNNNNNNNNNNNNNNNNNNNNNNNNNNNNNNNNNNNNNNNNNNNNNNNNNNNNNNNNNNNNNNNNNNNNNNNNNNNNNNNNNNNNNNNNNNNNNNNNNNNNNNNNNNNNNNNNNNNNNNNNNNNNNNNNNNNNNNNNNNNNNNNNNNNNNNNNNNNNNNNNNNNNNNNNNNNNNNNNNNNNNNNNNNNNNNNNNNNNNNNNNNNNAAAAAAAAAAAAAAAAUUAAAUCAUUUGUUAUUUCAAAAAAAAAAAAAUUAAAAGUAUUAAAAGUUACCUUAUGAUUAAGAUUAACUCUCAUUCAAAAAAAAAAAUUAAGAUUAACUCUUUUAUUUUUAGAAAAAAUCUACUCAUUUAUUUGACAUUUAAUGUUAUCUAUGUAUAUUACAUUUUGAUUGGUUGAUAUCAUGAGAGAGUAAAUUACCCUCUAAACAAGAGAGGGUAACGUAGACCUCAUCCAGACAAAUUGGUUGUACUAAAAAGGGGUAGGUUGAGAAAAAGAAUAUUUAAGGACAAUUAUUCCCUCAAAAAAAUUUAAGGACAAUUAUUUUUUUAAAUAGUCUUAUAUGGUGUAAUUAGGGACGGCGUAAAGUAUCAAAAAAGAUAUUGAUAGAGAUGCAUUAUUUAAAAAAAUUAAUUAUUUUACUAUUUUUAAUUAUAUGGAUGCAUAUUUUUGACUCGGAUUGUGAGGUUAUUGAAUAAUAGUGUGAUUUUACAACUUGAAGGAAUGAAGUUUAAAUCUCACUUAAUAUAUUGUAAAAUAACUAUUUUUGUCACUGUUUUAUUGUUUUUUUUUUAAUUGGUAAAAAUAUAUUAAAACUACUCAAACUCAAGUAAGGGUGUUCGCGAUGCAGUUUAGAUCAAUUUUAAAGUAAAAUGUCAUUCGAUCCGAAAUAAAAAAUCUCAUGCGGUUUGGUAUAGAUUUGAUGAUUAUUCUUAAAAAAUCUGAACAGAUCCGAUGUAAAUAUAUGUGAUUUAAUUUGGAUGAGUUUGAAUUUAAACACCGCUAAACUCAACCCAAGUUGUACCCAGACAAGAGCAAUGAAAUUAAAUUGCAAAUUUAUUGCACCAGAAGUGAAAUUUUAAAAUACGUCAAGACAACCCUUCAACAUACGCCUAAACUCCCAAGCAUGUCCAAUUCAAAGCAUUGAAGGCGAAGUAUCAAUCGUUUAUUAAUAACUUCUUAAAAAUUAAAAAGGUCGUUAGUUUUUUUUUGUUUAACAUCAAAUUUUAUGUGACAACCAAAAUCAGUGCUCAACACGAAUUGAGACCGUAAUUCAGAGCAUAUAAACAAAAGACGUCGUUAUAAUAAUAGUUUUUCUUUUGUACCAAAAAAAAAAAAAAAAUAAUAGUUUUUCUUAACUAUUACUUUUUUUUUCAAUUCUUUAAUUAAUAUUUUCAAUAUCAUUUAUUAAGGACAAUUUUGUAAAAUAACUCAUAAUAUUUCUUAAUUAUAAUUCUUAAUACGUUGAAAUACUUAAAACAUCAUAUAGUUUAAGACGGAAGAAGUAUAAAUGAAGUGAUUAUAGGUUCUAAACCCAGAGAGUUUGUCUGACUCUGAUGGGUUAAACUUGGGACUUCAUAACGUGCUAAAUUAAGUCAGUAUAAAGAGAGUAUGUCCGAUGGGUUAAACUUGGGACUUCAUAACGGGGUAGAUUAAGUCAGUAUAAAUUAAGUGAUUAUAAAUUAAUUAUAUCUUCUUUAGGGACUUUAUACCUCUCCCCUUAUUAAAUAUUAUAAAUUAAGUCAUCAUUAUAAAAUACUAAAAAUAAAAAAUUUAAAGAUGAAAACUAUUUCAAAUGAAUUAAGCUGAUGAUCUAGUUAUCAGAUCAAUUGAAUUAGAAACAUAAUUACCUAUGACAUAAGUCCAGUGUUUAACCGAAUCAUUGUGAUGCCAAUCUUCACCUUCAUGAAGCUUGGCAUGAUGAACUCUUUCACAAACUUUGUGCACUUCGUGAAGUUCUGAUGCAAAUAGUUUGAAGAACUUCUCCCCUGGUGAUUUGAUCCCAAGUUCAGUGAUAAGUUUACCAGCAAGCACCAUUUUUGUAGAGAAAAAAAACUAAAUACACAAUAAUAGAAAGAAAGAAAUAGCAGACCCAACAAAUAAGGAAAGUUUUAUGAUAUGAUGAUGGUUUAUGAAACCACACGACUUAAAUAGAAAAUUUUUACUAUGCAGUAGACCCAACAAAUUAAAUUAAAUUAAAUUAUGUGACCCACUCACUUAUUGUUCUGUGCUCCCCCAACCCAUAUCAUGUCAUGAUCUAAUUUAGGAAAUAUUUAUUAUUGUCCGACCAUAUCAUUUAUAAAUUUAAUAAUCCCUUUAGUCCUUUUUAAAAGAAAGAAAAAUGAUUGUUUUUGCUCCUUUUUAUAAGAAAUAUUGAACAAUUUUUAAGUGUGUUGGAAACUAAAUUUCAUUUGUAUCCUUAUUUAUGAUGAGAAAUAGUAUUAAAAGUAAUUAAGUUAAUGGAGGCAAUAGUAAUUAAUUUAGGGGUAUUCUUGGAAGAAAUGUAAAUGUAUAGGAGUAUUAAAUGAGAAUAGUCAUUUUCAAUGUACUUCCUAGUUCCGGAUGAUUUAUGUUUUUGUUCUUAUAAAAAGGACCGAGGGAGUCCCCAUAAGCUUAACUCAUUUGGUAGGCGAUAAUGCAUUUGUAUGCAGGGGCCGGGGUUCGAACCCCGGACACCCCACUUAUUCACAUUUAAAGUGAAUUUUUCUAGCCGCUAGGUUACUUGACCAAAAAAAAAAAGGACCGAGGGAAUAAUUAUUUUUGUUUCUUUUAAAAAGAACUAAAGGGAGUACUCCCUUUGGUCACGUUUAUAAACAACUUUUGUUUUUUCAGAUUCAUUAAAUAAUUGAUGUAUCUGAAGGGAGUAGAUAUGAGAGCGAAUCGGAAUGUGGUUAAUUUAAACAAUUUAAAUUUCUCUUCUAGAAAUACAUUUUUUUUUUUUUGUAGAUCUAGAAAUACAUUUUUUAUUGUUAAUUAAUAUUCUUUUAUAAAUCAAUAAAAAUAAUUAUUAUAAUAAAUUACUUCAAGCAAAAUUUGGUAUUUUCUAAAUAAACAUUGAUAUUUUGAUUCAUAUUAACGUGGGUACAAUCCUUAUUCUUUAGCUUGUGCAAUCUGUGAAUGUUAAUGCUAAAUCGCACUUCGAAAGAUCGACCCUGAAUCAGUUUGGAGCACAUGGGAAUUAUUGCUCCAAAUGCACGUAACGAUUUGGAAACAAUGGAAGACAUUGAAUUAGAGCAACAUGAAGAAAUUACUGAAAACAAGUUUGUUGUGACAGACAAUGAAGAGGUACCAGUUGAAUGUGCCAGCCUAGAGGUAAAUCUUAAGCUCCAUGAGGGUGAAAUUGUUGCAUAUGACAAUGCAAAUGUCCUCAUUGCCUUGUUCACAAGACCGGCCUAGGGGCCAAGCAACCCAAACAAGGACUUUAAACCUGUUUGGGUAUACAAAAAAAGACCUAAAAUAUUAAUUUGUUUAUAAGUACUCCCUCCGUCCUUAAUUAUAAGACCCUUUUGCUAAAAUUACGGGAAUUAAGAAAGCGGAUAUUUGUAUUAAAGUUGUUUGUAAUCACUAUUGUUUUUACAAUUUUAUCCUUAAGAGAGAUAGUUGGUUUAUGUUUUCCAUAUGCUACUUAUUGCUGAUUGAAGAAAAAGAUGUAUAAUAAAUAGGGGCAUGUAUGUAAAGAAAUAAUUAAUGUAGUUGGAAGUAACAAAGGGGUCUUAUAAAAAGGGACAAUUUUUUUUUCAAAAGGGUCUUAUAAUUAGGGACGGAGGGAGUAUAUUAUAUAACUAAUAAAUUACAGACAUUUGUAUAGCUUAACCGAUUAUCAAAAAUGUCUUAAUUACUCUUGGUCAUAAAUUCAAAUUUUGGUCUUCACAUAAUUGAUUUUAUAUAAAUAUUCUCUUGAAAAAAUAUUUUUACAAGCCACAUUAAAUUUUUUGUUUUAGGCCUCUUAAUCUGUUGGGUCGGCCCUGCUUGUUCAACAUCGAGAGGGUUAGCGAGACCGUCUGACCUAUUGAUAAUUUGGUCAUAAUCACAACUUUUUGAGAAGAUAAGGGGUCAAAAGAUCAUAUUUUUUUCUUAUGUUAGGGGCAAAGUGAUGUGAUCCUAAGAUGUUCUCCCUUUACAAGAAUAAUAAAUUCAUUAUGGAAUAAAAGAAUCAAAUUAUUUUUGGUUCAAAUUGUUAUUUUCGUAGGUCAUUAUGUAUCUGUCUUGUAUUCAUCAUAUCUAGAGCUCUGGAACUCCGAUUGAGGUGAUCUUUGAAGCGUUGGAAAGGGUACAAAUUCAUCUACAUUUCAUAUGUUGGACUCAGAAGCAAAAUCGGCAUAUAUCAUGGUGUAAAAUGGGAUUAAACUGGAGGACGUGAUUAAAUGAAGGAGCUAAAGCAAAAGAGGUGAAACACAAUUAAUGUAGUUGAAGAGCAUAAAGUGGAGGAGAGAGGACGCUAAAAAUUGUCCAAAAGUAACAACCAUGAGUGUGUAACUUUGAGAAUUGAUUCAGCCACCUAAAUCAAAACCAAUAAAUUUGUAACAUUUUCUUGCAAUAAUUAGCCACAUAAGAGUUAUUUCAUUAAUCUUGAUAUAAUUCUAAGCUUUUCAGCAUUCUAGCCUAUUACCUAUAUAAAGGGGGCAAAAAUAAUGAAUAACAGGUAGAAUUUUGAUUAAAAAAAUACACUUUGUGUGUUGUGAAGCUUUGUCAGCAUUCUAGCUUUUCAGUUUUGGUUCUUUUUGAAAACUUGUCAGGGUUGAAGGUUAACUACAAUAAGAGCAGCUUGUUUGGUAUUAAUAUUGAGAAUUUGUGGUUGUUAGAAGCAGCUUCUAUUUUGUCGUGCAAAGUGGGUUGUAUUCCUUUCAUUUAUGUUGGCCUACCUAUUGGGGGCGACCCUAGACGCUUGUCUUUUUGGGAUCCGAUUAUUCUUCGAUUAAAAUCUAGACCGUCUGAGUGGAAAAGCAGAAAUUUAUCUUUUAAGGGCCGCUUGAUCCUUCUAAAAUCUGUCCUAUCUUCACUGCGUGUCUACGCUCUUUCCUUUUUCAAAGCUCCCGCAUGUAUACUCUCUUCCAUCGAAUCUAUUCUUAUUAAUUUUUUUUGGGGUGGGAGUGAGGAUAACAGGAAAAUUGCUUGGGUUGACUGGAACUCUAUUUGUAUGAAUAAGGAGGUUGGUGGUUUGGGGGUUAGGAGAAUAAAAGAAUUUAACAUAGCUCUUCUUGCUAAAUGGUGUUGGAGGUGUUUAGUGGAUAGAGACGGGUUGUGGUUUAGAGUCUUAUUGUCCCGUUAUGGUGAGGAGAGAGGUCGACCUAGAGAGGAUGGUAGGAUGGGGUCGGCGUGGUGGAAGGAAAUUGUUAAAAUUCGAGAGGGGAUAGGUGUCGAAGGAGGAAGUUAGUUUGAAGCUAAUAUUAUAAAACAUCUUGGUAACGGCCUUAACACUUAUUUUUUGUCUGAUUGUUGGGUGGGGAAUGAGACGUUGAUGGAGAGGUUUAGGAGACUUUUUGAUUUAUCAGUUCACCAGGAUUUGACGGUGGGCGCCAUGCACGCCUUAGGUUGGGGAGAAGAUGGGGAGGCUUGGAGGUGGAGACGUCGUUUGUUUGCCUCAGAGGAGGAUUUAGUGGUGGAGAUUAGGAAUUUGUUAUCUAACAUUACUUGCGUGGCUUUGGUGACCGGACACUAUAGUUGGCUACACGGUUCGUGGAGCGUAUCAAAUGCUUAUGAGGCAGGAGAUACAGGCUGCUGAUGUUGCUUCGGAUGCACCAUAUGGCACAAAAAUGUCCCUUUGAAAGUCUCUAUUUGCGCUUGGCGUCUCAUCUGCAAUAGAUGGCCGACAAAGGACAACAUGGUGCGUCGAGGUGUUAUUUCUAAUGAAAGUCAACUUUGCAUUUCAGGAUGUGGUCAACAAGAAACAAUAGAUCACUUAAUAAUUCAUUGUAAUUUUUUUGGCAAUCUUUGGAAACUUGUAAAGUCUUGGAUUGGUGUUUAUUCAGUGGACCCUUAUCAGGCUACGGAUCAUUUCCAUCAAUUUAUGUACUCUUUAGGUGGCUAUGCUCCUCGUCGGUCUUUUUUACAUUUGAUUUGGUUGUUUGUUUAGGGAUAGGCUGAGGUUUUAUUUUCAUUUCUAAAUUUUUGUUUUGGACAGGUUGUUAUUUCGUUGUAACUUUGUUUUGCCUCUUAUUAAUUGCACUCCUUGUGCUAGGGAGCAAGACUUUUUGUUGUUAAUAUAUAUCUCAUUUUGGCUUGUUAAAAAAAAAUAAAAUACCCUUAUUAAUUAUAUGUUGGAUAAAUUUGGAUGGAUAAUAAAUUGUUAAAGUGUAAGUAGCAAAUGUAUGUAAUAAACAAAAGACGAAACUAAAUAAUUUUGCAAAAGAAUAAAAUAAAUUUAUUCAAUUAAGUUAUGUGAUUUUUUUUAUAGAUGUAUGGUUUUUUUUUAAAUAGAAUUAAAAAUAAAAUAAUUUUUUAUAGAAUUAAAAAAUAAAUGUGCAGUUUUUUUAUUAAAUAUAUGUGAUUUUUUUAGAGCAUAUAUGUGUAGUUUUUUUUUAAAGGGUAUGUGUAGUUUGUUAUUAUGUUAGUAUGAUAUACGCAUAAUAAACAAAAACACAAAAUUAAAUAAUUUAAAAAAAAAAUUAUUAACUCAAUUUUUUUUGUCAAAUAGCUAAGUUGUUAGAAAUUCAAUCUCUUCAAGGUAAAGAAGAGGGGUUCGAGUCCCGAGCUCUGUAUAUAUUUAUGCAAAAUAUUAUAUUUAGUUUGUUGAGUUACCUAUGUCGAAUAAAAGAUAAAGUGAAAUUGAAGGAAAGUUGAAUUCAUAAAAGGAUAGAGCAAUAUGUAACCAACUUUGGCUUGAUAACUGUACAUCACUCUAAGUUUCCACUCUUAUCAAGCACAAUUUUGAUCACUACCCCAUCCUUUUAGACUUCAAAAAUUGUUCAUCAUCUUUUUCUUCUCAAUUCAAAUUUAUGAAAAUGUGGACAUUACAUCCGGAUUGUAAAAAUAUUAUUGCAGAUUCUUGGAAGUUGAAUGUUGUAGCCACUCCAAUGUUUAUUCUAACUCAGAAACUGAAGGUUUUGAAAGAAAAGCUCAAAGCAUGGAAUAAAGAUAGUUUUGGAAAUGUGAAUGAAGGUUUUUGUGCUUCUUCUUUUUUGCAGGUUAAUUCUUUGGUGGAAGAUUGCAUCCUAAAUCUUGUUAACAACUACUCAAACAACAUUUUAUCAAUUCUACGUUCAGAAGAUGAAAUUCACAAUGCAGUUUUUUCCCUCAAUAGAGACAGUGAUCCCGGACCAGAUGGGGUUCGGUGCUUUAUUCUUUCAACUUUAUUCGAGCAUUAUCAAAUCAGAAGUCAUCAAUGCAGUGCAAGAAUUCUUUCUUAUAGGGAAGAUGCUCAACAAUUUCAAUUCAAACACUAUUGUCCUUAUCCCUAAGACAAACAAUGCAGACACUGUUAAUCCGUUCAGACAAAAAACCUUAACAAACUUCAAAUAUAAAAUCAUCUCUAAGCUUCUUGAAGACAGGCUUGCUACUAUCAUGCCACAUAUUAUUUCAAAGGAGCAAAGGGGCUUUAUCGAAGUUAGAAACAUUAAAGAUUGCAUCCUUCUUACCUCAGAAGCAGUUAAUUUACUUGACAAGAAAUCAUUUGGAGGUAACAUAGCAUUCAAAAUUGAUAUUGCAAAAGAUUUUGAUACUCUUGACUGAUCUUUCCUUUUAAACGAGUUAAAAGCUUUUGACUUCAACUUAAAGUUUUGUGGUUGGAUUCAAGCUAUUUUAGAAUCAGAAAAACUAUAUGUUUCAAACAAUGGCAAGCUGAAUGGAUUUUUCAACUGUAAAAGAGGUGUGAGACAAGGUGACUGUAACACCCCAAAUUUUCCAUAUUAUAUAUGUGUGUUCAUGGUAUAAAUCUCUAGUUAUUAUUGUAAGGGAUUUUAUUUGUACAUGUUUUUUUUUGUCUAUAUUGCGACAUCGUGUAAUUAAUAAGAAGUGUGUGCAUAUUUUAUUUUAAUUAUUUUAGAAAAAUGAUAAUAGUUUACUAUGAGUAUUUAUGAGUCUAAAAUUUUAGUCAUGGGCGAGUGGAUUGACUGAUUAGUAUCUUGUUGACAAAAAAAAAUAUUAUUAGAUAGAACUGUUAUUGUUAUUACUAAUUAGUAAUUACUAAUAUAGAAGAAGAAAAAUCGAUGACAAAUGCCUAUGCCAAAUAAUCCUAAAAUAAGGGGACACAUUUAUUAAUAGAUAUUGAGUGACGUGGAAGGCAAGGAUGGGUACCAGGUUAACCUAAUUUACCUAGUAUAUAUAUAUAGGGAGAACAAGAGCCAUAGCCAUCCACAGUAGAUCAAAUUAGCGUACCAACGUAUAACCCUACUAUGAUCAAAUUAGUCUUAAAUUUUAAAAUGUUGUUACUGUUAUGACGUGAAUUUUGAUGAGAGAAUGAUGGUGAAUAAAUUGAAAAGAUGAAGUGGAAAGAUGAGAAUUGAGGAAAACUAGUUAGUUUGUUUUAUUUGAGUUUUUAGUCUUAAAAAGAGAAUAAUCCGGUAGGUUAAAAAUUGGUUAGUGGUUGAAUGAUAGGUUAAUCACGGAGAGUGAAGAUUAGGGUCGAGUUUGGCGAGUUUAGGGUCGAAAACGAAGUUAGGAAAGUUGUAACCGAAAGCAAAAAUAAACACUGGGACUUUUCUGUUCAGAAUUAGGAUUGUGUGUAUUCAUGAAAGUUGUAGAUAUGCGUUUUAGCUUUAAUUGUGCAUUGGUCUGACCUCAUUCCAAAAUAUAGAACUCAAGAUAUGAUCAAAAUACUACACAUGGGUCAGCAGGGUCGUGCUCUUUUCUAAGGCUUAGGAAAAUCACUUUUUAACUAUUUUAUGUUCUGAACUAGGUUUCGAUGUAAACACAAAAGUUGUAGAUAUGGAAGUCAGUUUUCAUGUGGCUUUGGAGUGACUCCAAUAGAACGUCAAAAACUUGAGUUAUGAUCAAAAUACUACACAGAGGUCAGCACGGUCGUACAUUCUGUGUAGGUUUAGGAAAACCAACCUUUUCACCCCUCCCUACAUCGAAUUUGGAUUUAGGUUCCUUCAUCAAAGUUGUAGAUAUGGGUAUUAACUUUCUUUUAACUUUGGUUUGACCUCAUUCGGGCAUAUUGAUGACGUUCAUUUUAUAAUGAUGAUGAGAUUGAUGUUACUAAUUAUAUUGAUGAUGAUAAAAUGCAUGUCUAUUUUAUAUUGAUGAUGAUAAUGACAAUGUCUAAUUUAUAUUGACGAUGAGAAUGAUAAGGUAUAAUUAUGAUGAUGAUUUGAAUGAUGAUGUCUAAUAUACAUUGAUGAUGAGAAUGACGAUGUUUACUUAUGAUGACGAUGAUGUGUUUUGUCUUGAUGUUGUGCAUAAUAGGAGGAGUCUAGGUGUAUGAUUGUGAUUUAUUGAUGAUGUUAUAAUCUUUUGAUACUUGAAAAGUCUGUCUCAUGCAUGCAUAUAAAGUUGUGUCUAGGAAUCAUGAUGACGAAAUGACGACGAAAGUCCAGUAACAUAUCUCUGGCAAAUUAUGACGAUGAAAGUCCAGUAACAUACCUAUGGCAAAUUAUGACGAUAGGUGUGGUACCACAUUCAUAUAGGUCUUAGGACUGAGUCCAUAUGCAUAAAAUUUGACGAUGAUUUGUGUUUGGUGAAUAGGUGUAAUUGUGUGAGACGAUGUAGAUGAUUAUCUGUUGAUGUUCUUAUGAAGAUGGUUAUUGGUUACUAUAUGUUUUGUGACUUGUUUGAAAUUGAAUUAUGACAUUGUGUUUGUGAAGUUUUUUUGGUUCUUAAGCUGAAAUGAUAUUUUCUACUAAUAUGGAUUGAGAUGAUAUAGUAUAUUCUUCAAGGUUCUGGAGAUUAUGUUUGUGAUGUGAUAUGACUUUGACUUAAUUGCUUACGUGUUCUUCUCAUUUUUAUUUAUACUAUUACAUGUUCUCGGAACUCACCCCUUCGUUUUUUGUGUUUGCUGGCUUGGCCCUGCGGUUGCGAAACCGUAGUUAUAUAGGUUAUGAGUCUUGGAGUCAGGUACAUGCCUUACGUGAAGAUUGUCUUGUGUCGUCUGUUAUUUUAGGGCCGGGAAAGCACCGCUCUGAUGGUGACACGGGAAAAGGGAUAUGCUUACUUAUUUCGUUUUGUACAAAAAAAAAAAACCAUUGACUAUGAUGUAAAAGAAAGUAUUUUCAAAAGCAAAAGAUUCGAUGUUAAUAUUAUUAUGAUUUUUAAUGAAGUGAAGUCUGAAUUAUGUUUGUUAUGAGUCAAUGUGAUAUCCUAAAUCUUGUGGAAGAAUUCCUAUAUUAUUAGAGAAGUUUUUAGCUGACUCUUUCCGCUGCGAAUCGAACUCUAUUUUUAAUUAAAUAAUAGUAAUAAUUAUUUUUGGGAUUUAGGGUGUCACAGUGACCCCUUGUCCUCACUUUUAUUUAGUAUUGUUGAAGAUGUGCUAAGAAGAGGCAUAUUAAAAUGAGUAAACCCUCAUUUGGGUCCCUGAAAGUGCACCUCGCUAUCAGCCACAUCCUUGGAUCAAUUAAAUAAACCAAAAACUCCUCCAAUGUAUGUUCCGUCAGUCAAAUGCAUCCAAAACGUUAACUGAACGUUAAGUGUGAUUGGAGAGGGACCUGAAUGAAUGUAAUCCCUCCAUCUUCUAGAAAAAAUUAACAAGUUCAUAUUUUUAUCUUCCUUCAUACCCUCCAUCUCAAAACAUUCCAAAAGACAAAAAUAAGUUCUUUACAAUCAUUAUCUCUGCUCUAUCAACCAUCAAGUCUGUUAUCUCUCAAUUAUCGGCUUAAUAAUUGUUCUGUAUUCUUUUGCAGGAAACAAAUGCCUAAACUUGGGUAAUAACACACCUCCCUACAUGCAACAGGUUGCAUGAAGAAGUGAGCAAAAUCUAAAACGUCAUCGGGGGUAUUGAAGUCAAUGUAAGCUCUAGAGAAUGAUGAUGAUGGCGAUGAAUGCUUGUGGCUGAAUGAAAGAAAGAAAGAAAGUAAGAAAAUUGAAUUGAAUUAAAUUGAGCAACAAGAAGAAUAGAAUUAAUAAAAGUACGUACCUGGUGAUUUUGGGAGGAUGGAAAGGGAGCCAAUUGUAACGACUAGCGAAGGAAGAGUCAAUUAAGGGCAUAAGAGAGUCUUGUGUAAUUGUUGGAGGCAAGUGCCGAAUCACCACCUUCGUACUAUCCGACAUCACCCUACUUCGAUUCAAUUCAAUUAUUGGAUUGGAUCACAUCUCCGCUGCUUCUCAAUUUCGAUGGAAUCAUUCAAUCAGAAAUUAUAAAUAAAUUAAAAUUGAAAUUGUGUGCCCUAAUUUCACCCAACUUGCCGUAACCACGACAGGAGAGGAACAAGAGUGUUGUUUCUAUUUUGAGCAUGAACAAGAGGAAAUUUAAGAUUUUUUAUUUUUAUUAUGGUUUUGGGUUGUUGGAUUAUGGAUUUUGAAUUGAUGAUGAAGAAGAAGAUAAAGGGGUAAAUCAAUUUUGAAUUUUGAUUUUGAAUUGCAUAGGUGUUGGUGAGCAUGAGUUCAUGAGUAGUGUUGAAGAAGAUGAAGGAAUUGAGAACAUUGAAGAAGAUUGAAGAAGAUGAAGGCAGAAACAUGAUUGCUGUCAUUUUGGUCCCUAGUCUAUGAGUAUAAUGGACACAUCAACACAAUUAACACCAAGUUAAUGUUUUGGAUGCAUUUGACUAACAAAAUAGACAUUGAGGGAGUUCUUGGUUCGUUUAUUUGAUCCGGGGAUGUGGCUGAUAGCGAGAUGCACUUUCAAGGAACCAAAUGAGGGUUUACUCUAUUAAAAUUGGUACAAGAAGGAAAGGUUGAUCUAAUCAGUGGCUGUAGACAUCAAUGUAUCCCCUCUCACACACUGUAUGCUGAUGAUGUUAUGGUAUUUUCCAAAUUCUAUCCCUGCAUCAAGAAUGCAAAAAAAAUUUCUAUCAGUCAGGUUUCAACAUAGGCUCCCUUCCCUUUACUUAUCUGGGAGUUCCUGUAUUUAAUGGUAAACCCAAAGCUUCCGAUUUAGAGAGGUUUCAGAUCCCAGACUAGGUUGACUGUGGCUUUUCACCCAAGGUUUGAACGGUUUGUGGCGUGUUUAAUUCAUUUUUGGUUGUUGAACUAUGGAAAACGUUUCCUUUGAUUGUAGUUAUAGUCUAUGACUAGUUUAAGACUAUAAAUAGCCUUGCAUUGUUCAACAAUUUUAUUCAUUCUUUACUUCCCAUCCUUUAUUCCUUUUUCUUAAUCUUUUUUUUAGUUUUUAAUGAGUGUUAUGGUCACUGCUGACCAUUCAUAGAAUCCCGACAAUUGCUUUGCAGUUUAUGUGGCGAUUCUACGUCAGUCAGCAGAGAAAUUUGACAUCAAAUACAACACAAAAAAUAUAGUUCAUAUUAUCUUGGAUUGUAAAAUCUAGGGCUGGCAAUGAACCGAGACAACUCAAAUAAAAUUCGGAACUCGACUCGGUAAUUAGUUCGUUUAACUUGGUUCAUGAACCAAACGAGCCGAACUUGAGUUAUAUAUGGUUCGGCUCGUUUGGUUCAUGAACUUACUAUUCUUUGAUACGAAGGUGGGGAUCUAUUAUUUCACAAUUGUGGAAUAUUUUUUAGAAAAAAAAAAAAUGUUAACAGGUCAAAAAUAUGUAAUGUUUUUUAAUAAAAUAAUAAAAUUUUAAAUUAUGUGAUUCGAGCAAACAAAUUGAACCUAACGAGUCGAACCGAGUAGUUGCUAGUGAAUUUUAAAUGAGUCGAACUCGAGUCGAGUUUCGAGCUGAACCAAUUCUUAUCGAGUUGAGCCGGACUCAAACGAGUUCAACUCGACUCGACUCUUUUCUUGCCCUAGUAAAAUCCAAAAAUACCUAACAAUCUGUUUCAGAUCUUAGAAUCCAAACUAAGGGUAUUUUAGAGAAAAAAAAUAGGGUGCACGAGUAGAUGAUAUGGUGGGAAAAGUAAAAGCCUCUUUUUUAGUACAAAGGAUUACGAAGUCCAUUAUUAGCAAAAUAAAAAAUGAUUACAAAGCUCAAAAGAAUUCUCUUCAGAGAAAAGAGCCCAAGCAAAACUAAACAACUAAAUGAAAAUUACAUAAUUCGUUACUUAACUUAAUUUGAGGUAACAUUUUCGUCCUUUUUUGUUUGUCUUGAUUUAGUCUUUUAUGUUAUAAAUGACAAUAUCUUGAUAUUUUUUUAAGCGAUUUUUUCCAAUGAAAUCUGAGUUUCUUGGUUUGUAUGAUAAAUAUUUUAGUUUGUUUGAGUUUGAUGAGUUUUUGAUGAUAUUUUUUGAGUUUUUGAUUUAUUUGUUUUGGUAAAAAAGGAUAAUUAUUUUGACAUUUUAUAACAUAAAUGACUAAAUCAGGACAAAAAAAGAUAAAUGACGAAAAUGUUACAUAAUAUUAAGUUAAGGGACGAAUUGUGUAAUUUUAUCAAUUGUUAUGACAUACAUGUCUCAUAAAUAUCAUCAAAGAAAGAAGAUUAUUAAGCUCAACGAGAAGGAGUCUCGAGAACAAUAAAAUUCGAAGUAUCUAUGAUAAAGAUAAAAUUAGUAGCCAAUCACUACUUAAUUUGUUGUAUUUUCACCAAGGAUGAUUAUCUUAUAUGUGUCAACUACGAUUCAAGAGAUUUUUGAUAUGUCGAAUCAACAAUGGAGUAAUCCCAUUAAUCUUGUAAUUAUCCGUAAACAAUUUAGAAUCAUACAAAGAUUUGAAAUUCCCUCACACCAAGCUAGCUCCAAACCAAAUACAAAACUUACUUUUUUGCAUGAAGUGCUUACACUGUCCCAUAUAAUGUACAAAGCCUUCGAGCCACCUACCAUCGUUAUCUGGAAGAGUCGUGUCAGAAUUUCCUUUGCAAUGCCAUCACAAUUGAGUAUGAUCCAGAUACAUCCCUCAUAAGGACGCUUCCAAUCAAUGAAAAUUGUUUCAAACUAUUGAGGAUCAAUGUCAUGAUGAUUAUGGAUGCAGACUUCGAUGGUGCUAGAAAACAUUUUGAUAACACUCGAUGGAUUAGCUAGUCUUCGAAAACUAUCCUCGAUAUUUUUUCUUACCACUUCCACAAAUGUCAACCAGUAGUCAUGAAAGUUGUCUUCUUCCUAUAAUAGGAAUCUCCACUACAAUGCUUGUUGAAGUUACUAAAAAUACAAUUCCUUAAAUAAAAAUGAAAGAAGUUAGUUUUUUUUAGGAUAAGAGAAGUUAGUUAUCAGUUUGGAAGGUACAUGUCUGAUCCAUACAUGAGGUGCAUAAUUGUUUUCUUUGAGCACAAUUGUAGUCUCACCCUCUAUCCUACAACAAGGGCAGGUAAGAUCUACCCUAACACCCCAGCUAUUUUUGAUGUAAUUAGUUCAAAUAUAAUCAUAAGCUAUCAUCUAUAUGAAGGAUUGAAUAUGACGGGGAACCUUUUAGUUUCACAAAUUUUUAAUGUCCCCUUAUAACCGACCAGUUAACACAAAAAAUUAUGAUUUCGAUUUUUUAAAAGGGAAAUGUUAAUUUGUGUCCUUAAGGCACAUGUUAAGAAUUUCAUUAAUAGAAAUUAUGUAUCGGAAAUUGUGUUAAUUUAUUACUUAAAAAAUUUAAUAUUAUUUUUUUUCAAUUAAUACUUACCAUUAAUGACAAGAAUUUAAUGCUUAACCUGUGCCCAAGUUAACAUAACCCUGGUAAAGAUCCUCUCCAUUUAUAACUUUUUCCAUUUGUUGCAAUUUGGAGAGAGAUAGACACAAAAAAAUAAGUGGUGGGUCCUAUCACUAAGUGGAUCCCACCAUCAUUAUUUUCUAUGUGUCUAUCUCUCUCCAAAUUUCAACAAAUGGAAAAAGUUAUAAAUGGAGAGGAUCUUAACCCGACCCUGGUAAAGAUCCUAGGAAUUUAAAACGAUAGAAAUGAAGAAACUAUUUUUGGGACCUCAUUUAUCCAUCCAAAAAAUUGACAUUCUUCUCAUACCUAUUUUUCAAAUAAUAUUGCUUUGCAAAAUCAUCCCACACACUUUCAAAAGUUUACCGAACAGCUAUUAACAAAUAGAUAUUUCCUCCUCUCAUUAAAAUAAAAUAUGUGCAUUAUUUACCUUAACUUAUAUAAGAUAAGAUAAGAUAAAAUGUUGUUGUAAAUAUUUUUUUAAUUACUAGUUAUAAAUAUAAAGAUUUUAUUGCUAUUUAGCGAUGUUUAAUCUCUGUCUAGAAAUUUGAGAAUAUGUGAGAAAAUAGAGUAAGUUCCUUCCUUCGAACUUUUCAUAUACAAAAGUCAGUGGUUGAACUUGUGAUCAUUUCGUUAGGAAUUAAGCCGCUUGUCACUUGGGUCAAUGAUAGUUUUUUUGUAAUCGAACUUUAUCAAUGGCACGAGCUUCACAAAUUACCAUAAUUUUUAUUCAAUUAUUGAUCAUAUUUAAUCAGCAUUAAAUAUUUGUCAAAAGUAAUCAGCUUAUAAUAAAACAAAGAUCGUGUUAAUCAACUUUAUCAAUGGCAUGAACUUCACAAAUUACCUUGUUUUUUAUUUAAUUAUUGAUCAUAUUUAAUUAGCAUAAAUAUUUGUCAAAAGUAAUCCGCUUAUAAUAAAAGAAAGAUCAUGUUUAACUUGGAAUCAAUCUUCUUAAACUAACUUAAAUAAUUGAGAACAUUAUUACACAAAUUUAAACUGCAAAGUACACAAAUAUCCAUUUAUUUGCAUCACACAUAAUUUAAGACAUAAUCUUCAAGACAUGACCGACACAUAUAUUUGAUACAAACGAAGGAUCAAGGGAAAGAAAUAUGCAUGCUUAUGCUACAUGCCAAAAUACAAACUUCACACUAGCUUUUAUUUUAUCUAUAUGCUCACAUUUAUCCAUAAAAGCCAACCCCAUUGAACCAUAAUUCAAAUAUCUUUAUGACUUAUAGAACUACCUUUUCCCCCUUGACAAGAUGACCAUCAAUAUCUCUAGUGCUUUUGCUAAGGUAAUCCAUCCAACCAUUUGGAGUAUCAAUAUCCUCAUUAUUCUUCUCAUAAUCAAUACUCCAUCUAACAGCAGAACUUCCAUCAGCCUUGUUAAGCACUUCUAAGAUGAGCUUAAAUACCUUAUAGUUUUCAAUAUCUCCACCAAACAGCUUGUAAGUGAUUUUUUUGUUCUGAUCAUCAACUUCUUCAACACUCUCAUUGCAUGUGUGUACCUCGCCAUCUGUUAUUACGUCAGAAGCAAUUAAUACUAAUAACAAUAAAAUACGUUUUUCAAAGGAAUUAAUAUAAUAAAUAUUAGUUGCACCAGAAAAUAUUAUAAUAAGAUAAUGAUAAUGGAUGCUUUAUUUCUGCGUUAAAAAAUAAAAAAGAAAAAAAUUCAUUAUCAAACAAAUGCCUCUAAUACACUCUUUAAAGAUCUUAUAUGAUGAUAAUGAUGAUUUUUAAGGAGUAUUUUUUUUUUUAUUUAGAAUCGUUAAAGAAUUUUUAUGAGUGCUCGUUGGCAAAACCCUAACAAAGCUCUUUCUUUUGUAGAAGAUUUUAUUGUUUUCACUUGAAACAUAUUUUCUAGAUAAGUGUAUGACAUUGUAACUUUAACCCGAAAUACAAUCAAAUCUCACAAGAAAGAGCAAUGCUAUAAUAAGUUUCCCUUUCACAUUUUUUUAUGAGUUAAUGCAUUUUUUUGUCCUCAAGAUUUAACUUAGUGUUAUGAGCUUCCCUUUAUAUAACUGUUGUAAAAUCCCACUUAUAACUGUUGUAAAAUUACAAUUUGAGUUACUAUUACUUUUUUUUUUUGCACUCGACAAAAAUAUAUAAAAACUACUCAAACCCAAGCACACAUUGCUCCCAAGAAAGAUCGAUGAAAUUACAAAUCAUGGCACUAUUAGUAUUAUUAGCAGAGAAAAUUUAGAGUCAAUGUAACACCCAUAUUAAUAAUAGUUUCACUUUUCCCUCCUUAAAAAAAAUAAUCUCUUUUCCCGCAUUAAAAAAUAAUAUUUAACAAUCUUGCUUUGUUUGGAUGCAUCUAGUCUGGUAUGAACCUUACAUUUUUUAUUUUUUUUUUGACAAGAAGUAUGAACCUUUCUAUUUUACAGUAAAUUUUAUUAACAUAUUUAAGUACUAUUUUUAGAGAUCCAGUACUUCACCUCGUGUGCAAUGAUUUCGAUAUCUCAAUUUUUUUUAAUGAAUUUAACUUUUUAUUUUAACAAUUUAUAUAUCUAAAACUCUUCAAAAAAAAUUAAUCAAUUAAAAAAAUUAUAAAUUAAGUCUAAAAAUAUUGCCUUCAUUGUAUAACACAAUUUUACACAUAUAUUUAUUUAAUUCGUAAAUUAUAACUUUUCUUAGACAAAUUUUAUUAUAUUAUUUGCUAUAUUAGUCUCAAUGAAUCAAAUCUCUAAUCUUCAUUAUAGAAUUCAUGCAGUAUUCCUUAACUCACCAAUCUUCUUUAUAUUACUAUAAUAUUAAUUAUCAUUCAAAAAAUUGGUAAUAGAUAACUUUUUCAAAUCAAACAAGGUGAUGAUUUGGUUACCUAUGACAUAAGUCCAGUGUUUAACCGAAUCAGUAUGAUGCCAAUCUUCACCCUCAUGAAGCUUGGUAUGAUGAACUCUUUCACAAACAUUUUGCACUUCGUGAAGUUCUGAUGCAAAUAGUUUGAAGAACUUUUCAGCUGGUGUUUUGAUCCCAAGUUCAGUAAUAAGUUUACCAGCAAGCACCAUUUUUGGAAAGAUACUAAAUAUAAUACAAGAAAGAGAAGAAAGAAACAAAUAAGAGAUGGUUUAUGAUAUGAGGAAAGUGUAUGCAACCAAUACCUUAAAUAGAAAUUUGAUUACACUAUUGACUAAGAUAUAUAAUAAUAAUAGACACACCAAAUUCAAUUAUGCAGUCCACUACUUUCCCCACCCAUGACAAAGCAUGAUCAAAUAUUUAAUUUAUUUCGUUUUUUGAUAUUUUAUAAAUUUUAUUUUUUAUAUUUUGUAAGAUUUGUAUUUUUAUAUAUUAAAUUUUUUAUUUUUUAUUUCUGUAAAAAGGAAAUUGUAAAUUAUUCUUUUUUUUUUAUUUCAUUUUAAUCAAUUAUGUUUUUUUUUUUAAAAAAAAAAUUCAUAUGCAUUCUGAGAACUUUGUUCUUUAGAAAGUUUAAGAGAGGAUUUUUGAAACUUCCAAAUUUUGGCACAAAAUUUAACAUUUUUAAAAUGACGUUCUUGAGUUUUAAAAAUUGACCUUUUAAAUUUGAAAUUUAUGGCGAAUACUUGAAAAAUUUGAAUUUAUUUUAAAAUGUUUUUGACAUUUUCUGAGAAGAAUGUUCGACAAAAACAUUUCGAGGACUAGUGUACCUCAAAAAUGUCAAACAAAACAUGUUAAGAGAUAGGUUAAUGUGUCAAGUGUGAGUUAAAGUUUUACAUUGAAUGUAAGAGUAAAUAUUGAGCAACAUAUAAGCAUUAUAAUCCAUAUUCUUAUUACCUUAUUUAGUGUGUAGAUGUUGUGUGAAACUCACUUGUGUUGAUUCUUUUAGUUUAAAUGAUACGAUCAAACUUAAUGUAGAGUCUUCCGAAAAUGGAUUUUUAAUUUUUGGAUGUCAUUUCUUUAAUUUUUUUAGCUUAAAAAUUAUAUUUUGGAUGUCAUUCUCUUUUAUGUGAAUCAUUUAGUCAAUCUUUAUUAAUUUAUAUUCACUCCCUCUUGGUCUUUGGUGGCAAGUAAUAAUUAAAAAUUGCUUAUAUGUUAUGAUGAUUGGACAAAAUAUGAGUUGAAUUUAAUGGUGGUGAGUUGACAGUCUAAAACAACUUUGCACAUAUAACCAAUCAAAACAGUCUGAAAUUUAUUUUGAAGCGUCAAUCCACCAUCAUUAAAUAUUUUGAUGAAGAGAAAGUUAAUGUCAUGAAACUUACUCCCUCUGGUCAUUAUUAUAAGCAAAAAUCAACUUUUUAGGUUCAUUCAUUAAAUGAUGUAUUUGGUCAAUAAUAUAGACUAAAUACAUCAUUUAAUGAAUGAACCUAAAAAAUUGAUUUUUGCUUAUAAUAGUGACUAGAGGGAGUAUAUGGAAAGUUGCAUGUUUGGGUUAAGAUGUGAUGUCAAACUCUCUUAUGUGACUUCUCUCAGUCUAAUGUUGUUGAACUAAAAUGAGUUUUGUACAAUGCCUAAGUUUUGAUGAUAACAAUGUAUAAAAGAACAAUUUGAUAUGCUAAUUUGUGUUCAAGUAUGCAGGAUCAUAGAAUUAAAUUUAAAAUAGUAAAUCAAAUUUUUUGUUUUUGAAAGAACAAGAUUCUGAGCACACUUUAAGAACAUUUGAAUUUUGAGAGAAGAUGAAGUUCUGGACCAGAUUCUGAAGGAUACAUUACAAGCCACUGAAGGACUCAGACUCUGAAGACUUGGACUCUGAAGUAGUGAAGCUUUUGAAGGAUUCGGACUCUAAAGGACUCGUCAGCAUCAGAAGACUCUAGCUAGUUUGGUCAUCUUCUUAAUAGGUCGCUAUCAGACUCUAAUAGUACAAUUUGUCCUCUUCUAACUACAUGAAGAACCAAACAAAGAACUUCAAGGAUAAUUGGAAUGAAACAUAUAAUUCCGUAUGAAGCAAAGAAAUUUCAAAUGAGAGUUCAAUGACAUUAACCAAAUUAAGAAACACACCAACGUCUAUGGUCAAGUUUCUCAACGACUUUAAGUAAUGUGUUGACACUUCUCUAAUGUCUCUCAGAUUUUCCUCUAUAUAAUUAAGGAGCUGAAGAAUCUAAGAAAAAUAAAAAAAAGCACACGCUACAUAUAUUGAAAGUGUAUUUACUGUGUCAAAAUCAAAGCGCAUAAACACUUCGUUUUUAUUUUUACAAACUUUCAUAUGUUAGAAGUUCUUAAGAGUUAGAGUCAAAACUGAUUUGUAUUGUUUACACAUCUGAUUGUAUAGCAAGAGUAAAACCAAAACAAUAUUUUAUAUGAUUAAAUUAGAUGGUAUAAGUCUCUCUCUCUCUCCCUCCCUCCCUCCCUCCCUCUCACUGCCUCUCUCCCCCUCUUCCUCUAUUUUAAUUGGUCUCUAAAAAGGGUCAUUUACGGUAACCUCCACCUUUUCUCUUCUCCACACUCUGUUCUUCUCUCUCUCACACUCCGGUAGUUCUGUGCUGCGAUCUUCUUCAUGGUUUUAAUUAGAUUUGGUUCAUUCUAUUUUUAAAGGCUGAUUCAUUAUAUUUACCUUUUGGGUUUUAAAUAUUAAUCGACAAUCCAAAAGGCUUUGGGUGUUAGUGUUGCAUAAGGAACCAUAACAAUGUGACGAGUGUUCGUCGUCGUUGUUCCUAUUCGUCGGCAACGUUCCUGUUCAUCGGAGUUCGUUGAUGUUGUUCUUCGUCUAGAAAAAAGUGCUUGUUUUUUUAUCUGAGUUUAGAUGUUAUUCAUUUCAUACUAUUGUUAAAUUGGAUUUUUCAUGGAAAUAGGACAUCAACAAAAUUAGGGAUAACAAGGUUGAGAUAUGAAUUGGUGAAGAGUUUAAAAAACCUUUAAAAAAAUACAGAAAUGGAAUAAGUGGAAUGGAUUUCGAUAGAGAAGAAGGAAGAAGGAUGGGGAAGGGGAAGAGGUAGCUAGUAAAAUAUGAAGGAAGGAGACGCCAGAAAAAACAAGAAAAUAAAUCAUGUGUGAUUAAUUUAAUAUGGCACUUUUAAUCUAACCCACACAAUUUGAUCUAAUGGCUAUUGAUUAGUCCUCUCAUCUCUCACCAUAAGAUACUCCUCUCAUUUGAUACAUGCUAUAUAUAUAUAUAUAUAUAUAUAUAUAUAUAUAUAUAUAUGCAUGUGGGAAAGGAAUAGAAGCCUCCUUCCAUGAAAUCACAACCAGCUAGCCCACCUUUUUUACUUUGUUGUCUCUUAGUUUGACCUUAUCUAGGCAUGCCACCAAAAUACAAAUGCAGAUAUCCAACCUAGUUUAGGCUACCCAGAAAGUCAUCACAUUAUGAUGAAUUGUUUUGUUAAUUUUAGAUAUCAUUUGUUUAAUUUUUCUAUUUUAAAUUUUAGUUUUUGGAUGCCAUUUCAUUUGAUGAUAUUUUUCUUAUUUAACAUCUACUAUUUCAAUUUACAGCAUUUCUUGUCUUUACCUGAGUUUGAUGAUGGGAGAACUAUAGAUAUGUUAUGGCAAGUUGACAAGAUACAUACUUAUUAGAUAUUUUUAAGUUAAAAUAUGGUGUCAAUCUUACUUGUGUAAUUCCUCUUGGCCUAAUAUAAUGACCCAACCUAGUUCUCCCAACCUUGUGUAAUUCCUCUUAGACAUUUUUUAAGUUUGAAUGUCAUUUGUUUAAUUUUUUUAUCUCAAAAUUUAGUUUUUUGGAUGUCGUUAAUUCACUUUCAUGCGAUUUUUUGAUUCAACCUCUAUAAUGUUAAAUUCCUUCACAUUUCAGCUUUAGUGAAAUUCGACAAUAUAAAUAUAAGAUGUGUUCUACUGUUUUGAAAAAUACAAACUUAUUAGAUAUUUUGAAAUGAUGUGACAUUUUUUUUAAUACGAUUAAUUUUUUGUUAAAAUAAUUACGCAAAAACGUCUAACUCUUUCAACAAACUCGUCAUGUAAUUACCGACAACUCACUUUAUUAUCCAUACCAACGAGAUUCAUAAAAACAUGAAGGAACAAAUUAACAAGAUUCUUUCUACUUUCUUUUGACUAAAAACCUUCUUAUCUCUUUUAAAAACAUUACUCUUAUAAAUGUUUAUUAUUGUAAUUUGGCUCAUUAUCCCAUUACCACUCGGUUCCUUUUUUUUUAUAAAUUGGAUAACGUAUGAAUAUAAUUGAACAUUAUGAAUAAGAUCGAUUCCGUGACUAAAAAGAAAACUGCAGAUUCAUAGAUGGUUCCGAUGACGUUUCCUUUGAUUAAUAAUCCGAUUGUUAACUUGCUUCUGGUCUAGCCCUAUUGACUGUGCCAGUUCAAUCUUAUCAGCUUCCUGCAAAAUCAUGCUAAAUAUGUUUCUUUCUUACUACUUUUGAAUGAUUCAUUUUUUUUAAAGUUUACUAAAUGGGUAAUAUAUAUAUAUAUAUAUUGCAACUUUUUAAGAAGAAAACGACUCUUCUUCAAAAAAAAAAGAAGAAGAAAACGACUCUAUAUUAAUCAUGCCUGCUACCCACUCUAUUAUUGUGCUUUUGAGUAAACUACUCCCACUAUUUUAUUGGAUCUCGCGCGAUAUGAUUUGCUUUCUGCAAUUAAAAGAUAUAUCACGUUGUUAAUUUUAUAUACUUGUUGAUCGUUGAUGUGAACGUAGUUUCUACCAAAAAAUAAAAUGUGUGAUAGGGAUGUUGUAAUUAGAACUAUUAAAGAAGUUUGUUUAGUCUAACUUGAUCCGGUCCGAAAGGUUCGACAAUAUAAAUAGUUUAGAAUUAUGCUCUUUACCCAAUCAAAAUUGCUCGUUCCCAACUAAAAUUCACAUAAUGCCCAUGCGUGAGUUAAUUCCGUGAUUUAACUCAUGCUUGAUAUAUCAGUAGCUGCGUGAGUUAAGUCACGCAACGUGAGUUAAGUCACGCAAAUUAAACACUAGUGUGAGUUAACUCACGCAGGGUUAUUUUUGAAAUUUCAAUUGGAAAUGAGAAAAUGGUAAAGAGCGGAAUUCAAUAGUUUAAAUCAGCUCGUACUAUUUAUUAUCGGGCCACACAUUAUAGAGCAAGUCCAGUCCAUGGGUCAUCCUUGCUCGACCCAUUAAUUUAUUUAAUUUCAUUUUUUUUAUGUGACUUUGAUAUAUUACUUCCUAGCAAUUAUUUAUUUGCGAGGAAUUGAUUUGAUGAACAUGAAAGUGUAAAUAUUUUAUCCAAUAACAUUGAAUAUUAAUUAAACUCUAAAUUUAUUAACUCUGAACUGAAUUAGUAAUUUAUAAACUUUAAAAUUUUAAAAGUUUUAGCUAAGUUUAUCCAUUUUUAUUAAAUUCAUUUGAUUUAAUAUAUUUUUGGGAAAAUUACACAAUUAGUCCCUUAACUUUAUUUUAGGUAACACUUUCGUCCUUUAUCUUUUUUUUGUCACGAUUUAGUCCUUUAUGUUAUAAAAUGACAAUAUCUUAUCAUUUUUUAUGAGAUUUUUUUCAAAGAAAUUUAAUUUUCUAGACUUGUAUGAUGAAGAUUUGCAUUUGCCUAUGAGUUUGAUGAUUUUUUUUUUUGGAGUUUUUGAUUAUUUUUUUCAUAAAAAAGGAUAACUAUGUUGUUAUUUUAUAACAUAGAGGACUAAAUCGUGACAAAAAAAAGAUAAAGGACGAAAGUGUUACCUAAAAUAAAGUUAAGGGACUAAUUGUGUAAUUUUGCCUAUAUUUUUAUUAAAAAUUCUUAAAUUUGGUGAUAAUUUUUAAAAGGCUUUCAUUCUUUAUUUUUUAAUACAAAAAUGCAACUGAAAAUGUUGAGAGUGCACCAGUCCGAUGGCCUAGCCCGCCCCAACCAAGUAUUUAGAUAGACUAAAUGUGUCAAAGCUAAUAAAACUCAAUGGGAUAACUUUUUUAUGCCCACCCCGACGUUUUUGUUAUUCCAUACGUUUAGUCGGGGACGGACAUUAAUUAAACGUGUGCAAUGCCCACCCCGAACACGGACGGACACUCUCGUGUUCGUCUAUCCAUUUUUUCUAUUGCACUAACGUAUAUAACUCAAAGAGCACUUAUACAUACACACCCUUACAUUUUAUACAUGCAUCCAACAUCUUCUUUUCUCUCUAUCUAUCUUUUCCUAUCAUAUUAAUAAUCUAUCACAUUUAAUCAUUUCACUCUCUUUAUUUCUUUCUCUCUAGGAAAUAAAAGGCAUAGAAAGAUUAAUUGAAUAGUGGUCCAUAAAUUGAAAUCAAGGUGUAUAUAUAUGUAUUCUUUACCAUUCAUGCGCAGCAUACUAUAAGUCGAACGUGAUGGCUUCAGAACCAAGAAAGAGAGGGCAUGACCCGUACAACCAAGUUCAACAAUACUUAUGUCAUUAACAAUAGGUACGACACUAUAGCAUAAUAAACAAUACACAACAAUUAAAGCAAAGUGUCGUAAAGAAAUAACAUAGUAGAUUUGGUAACCCAAUUCGAUGCAACGCCACUUACAUCUGAAAACAUCAAUGCCAAAAAAGGAAAUUCACUCUUAUAGUAUUGGUUCACAGUCUUAUGCAAACACCAUUCUUGCCAUAAGACUAUGAACCUAGGGUUGUUUGCAUAAGACUAUGAACCAAUACUAUAAGAGUGAAUUUCCUUUUUCAGUAUGGAUGCCUCCAGAUGUAGGUGAUGUUGCAUCGAAUUAGGUUACCAUAUCUCAUGUUUUCUUUCUUUACUGCACUUUACUUUAAUCAGUGUUUAUUGUUUAUUGUGCUAUAGUGUCGUACUUGUUGUCAAGGACAUCAGUAUUGUCGAACUUGUUGUCUAAGACAUUAGGUAGAACAUUUGUCUAACGAGUGCCUUAAUUUUAGUAAAUGUGGAAAAAAAAAAUUGAAGAAAGAGAAGGCAUGACCCAUACAACCAUUUUCAUGAAACCUUUUUCAAUCUCUCUUUUCUCUUGUCUUUGCUAAGACUUUGUUUGAGAGUUUGGAGGAAAGAGUUUUGGAAAAUAAAAAGGAGCAAGAGGGAGAAAUAAUAAACAAUAGGAGAAGAGGGCUUUGUGGAUUCAUUUUUUAUUCAUUCAUUUGGGGAACUCGGAAAUUGUAUUGGGGAGGGUUUUGGUUGGUUUCAAAGGGUUUACAAGAAUUUUCAAAUUUAAUAUACAUUGUUAUAAUAUAUUUUUUUAAGAGUUGUUAUAAUAUUCUUAAAAUUAAAAUAUAUUUAAUCAUUAGUACAUGAGCAUUGCUAUUGAGUACGGGAGAUUUAAUCACGGAAUUUGACGAAAUGGAAAACACACUAACCAAUCAAGGGUAAAGUUGUCAUAUAAAAAUGGAUUAAGGAUAAAACUGUAAUAACAAAUACACAUCAAGUUCAAUCGUUGUUUUUCGUGAAAAUGGCUCCGUACUAACUAGCAUUUCCGUUAGUACAUAUCAGUUUAUCAUUCUCUAAAAAAUCGCACUUCCAAAAUAUGUGCAAGAUUUUUCCAUUUUUCUAUACGUUUCCCAACCCCUAAAUCUCUCCAUUUCCCUCUCUCACACCCAAAACUGAAACCACUUUUCUCCAAUUCCUUAACAUCCAUUGUAUCCAUCCAUCUACUCAUGCCCACAAACUGUCACCCCACUAUGAAAAAUUAAAAAAUCAAGACCAAUCUUAUCCUUUACACACAAUAUUAAUUAAUCGAUAUAAUUGUGUUGAAUAUAGACAAAUUAUCAUGUUUCCAAAUUCCAUCUACCAACAAAUUAUCAACAACCUUUGCAUUGUAAAACUCUACAAAACGAAUUUCUGGAGAUUGUUAUGGGGUGUAGACACAUAAUUUCUUGUUCUCCACUACCUUUCUGUCCAUAGAGAAGAACUUGAACUCAUCUCAAAGAAACACCCCAAAGAUAAGCUUACAUAAACUCACUGCACCAAAAAACCUAAUAUUAUUUUAAAAAAGAUAUUACAAACAAUUUAAACAAAAAUAUUCUUCAUUAACUACUAAAACUAUAUAUAUAUAUAUAUAUAUAUUCUUACUACUGUUGGAAUCCCAAUGACAAAAAUGUUGUAUUUUUUUUUUUUUUUGGUUCAAUAGCCUAGUGGCAAAUAACAAACUUUUGAAAGUGUGGAAAAGUGGGAAAUCCGAGGUUCGAACCCGGCCCUUGCAAAUAUUCUCCCUGUUAUACUUGUGACCAAUUUAUUAUUUAAGAAAAUACUCUAAGGUGUGCAGCAAUCAAACUACUAAACCUUGAUAUUGUUUAUGGGGAUGACAAAAUCACAUUCACAUGAAUUACUUCUAAGAGAUUAAAAUAAAUAAGUCCAUUGGAUCCCAUAUAGUUCUCUGAAAAUUGAGAAUAAUAGAAGGAUAAACCAAGUAAAUGGCAAAUAGAAAAGCCAUUUAACAUUGAACUUGAUUUAACUAUUGUUCAUAUUCAAAUAGUUAAGAAAAAUUGUGAAAACAAACCUAUAAAGGUUUCUCUCAAUUCCUUUAAACCGUGUCUAUGAGGGCAUUAAGUGUGGAACCAAUUUUUUAACAAUCAACCUUCAAUUGCAGCACAUUAAAGAAGUGAGAGAGAUUCAGGUCAUGAGAAAGACACAAGAAAAGGGUUUGAAUUGUGUUAACUUUUUCUUCUUUUAAACAAAGUUUAAAGUUCAGCUUCUGAUAGAGUUCAAAAUCUCAAACAAUAUUCAGAGUUAAAUGCAGCGUAUAAGCACGACAAAACAAUUAUCCUGGUUCCUUCCACAAUCCGGAAGUAAUCCAGUCCCCUUGUCACUUACAAGAGAUUUUUCAUAAUAAUCACACAAGAUUACAAUUGCUCAAGCACACAAGCAAGAGACUUUCAAUGCUCAAGCACAUAAGCAAGACUUCUUAUGAAUAGAGAUUACAAAGAAAAUUGUUUGAGUUGAACACUUGAUAUACAAUCAGUGGUGUUCACAAAAUACAACACAUUUCAGACUCUAAGACUUAUGAAUUUCUAAGGUGUGAAAGUUUAUAAGAAAUUCUAAGUGUUUGAAUGCGUAUUUCAAUUUGACAGAGUAAUGAUACUUUGAAAAUAUUGCAAAGUCUUGUAAUUUAUUCAAGUCUUCAAUCCUUUAUAUAGAGGUUGAAAAGAUACGUUGAAGAGCGUCAACGCAUCAUUUGACUCAUUAGAGAAGCUUGAUCAAACUGUUGUAUUUUUCCCAUUAUUUUUUAUUUAUUUAAAUAAGUGGUAAUUAUCAUUAAGGGCCCAUUAUGAUAAUUAUUCAUUAUGAUAAGGAAUUAACCAUUCUUUUCCUAUAGAGACACAAAUGUAGCUUCGUAUAAUGUACAUGAGAAUGUUGGAGGUAGUCGUCGUACUAUAGUUUGUUGUUCUUCAUUGAAAAUGACACACAUUGACUCUCUGAAACUUUAAACAUCCGUAGCUGCAUCUUGCAGAGACUUCUGUACGUUUGGAUCUUCAGCUAUCCAGAGUCUGGCCUCCAGAGUCUUAGUAUCCAGCUUUAGGGUGAUCUAGCUUUUUGGUUUCCUUCAGAGUCUGACUUCUUCAGAUUAUGGUUUGCCUUCAAAAUUUGACUUCUUCAUAUUCUGGUUUGAUAUUUAUCUUCUCUUGAAAAUUCUUUGCUCUACAUUGUUCUUUCAGAACCACUACAUGAUUAAGACAUUAUAAAUUUUUUCCUAUGGUCCUGCACACUUAAACAAAUAUUAGCAUAUCUAAUUGAUCUUUUAAUACUUUGUGUUGGAUCUUUGUAUAUUGGCUUCACUUUUGCCUAAAACAAAUAUGCAUGUGAGAUGUUGAACACGAUGUGCCAACAUCUUGGCAUGGUUCAGUUGACCUGCACCUUGCCUUGUUUUACGCACGCGCUAUUUUAUCUAAGGAAUCCACAUUUUUAUUCUUGUUGGUCAAGUUGCGUGUUUUUAGCACAGGAUCAGAUCGUUUGUGAUUUCCUAAGAAUGAGCUAUCUACUUAGGAAAGUUUGGAGGUGAUCAAUAUGUUCCUAAUAAUGUGCCUAAAUAUUAGGAGUUUCCUUUACUGGUUCUGCUUUUCGUGAAAUGGAUCACCGAAUUGUUCCGAAGCCCAACAAUUUUACUGACCCGUAUUGCUUCAGUAUUUAAAUAAGACUGGAAGACCUAGAGAAUUAAUUCAAGCCGUCAUUUGAAGAAUAGAUCAUGUAGGAUUUUGAGUCUGUUAUUUGUGAGCCUUUCGUGUAUCAUCUUAAUGCAUGUUUAGGACUGUGUUUGAGUUGUAAAUUGUGCACUACUCCAAAGCUUUUAAUUAAAGAGUUAGGUAGUUUGUGAACUGCACCAAAGCUGUGAAGUACGGUGUUUAGUUAUUUUGUUUUGAAGGUAAAUUCAUUUGAUUGUAUUUGUAAUUUGAGAAUCACAGGGGUUGUGAUCAGUUGUAAGGGAGUGAGAUGAGAUCUCAGAUCUAGGAGUUCCUAGGUUGAAGUCAGUACGGGUCGUUCCUAGGUCAUUAGUGCAAACGAGGAGUUUGCUGAGAGCUAUUGAAUAAGAACUACACUAGUGGAUUUCCUUCUUGGCUUGGUAGCCCCCCAGAGUAGGUGACGUUGCACCGAACUGGGUUAACAAACUCACUGUGCCAUUUACUUUUUUGUUUGUUUCUUUACUUGUCUGCUUGUUAGCUUAAUGUUCCAAACAUAUUGUUCAACAUUUGUUUUUGUGUAAUUGGUGUUGCAACAUCGCAUAGAACAUCCUAAAGCUAACGUUCCUGAAUUUCACUUUGUUAUCAUCAAAACUCAAGAGGUAUUUUUUAAAACUCAUUUUAGUUAGGGAGAGAAAUAUAAACGUAUCCAAUUGCAUAUCAUUAUUAAUGUUUUGAAUAAUUGUGUAAUGACCCAAAUAGGCCCAAGUGAUAGAAUAGGCAUUACAAAUUGCUGCCUUUACAUGAUGAUGAGAAAGGGAAAGAAUUUGGCACGAAUAAAACAAUUUAAAUACAGUUAAAGAGAAACUACAAUUACAAUUUAGUCAAGACCAUGGUUGUCAAAAUCGCAAGUCGUAAAAUCGCAAUCAAAAUUGAAAGAUUUUACUCCUAUAAGAUCUCAUAAAUAGGAAAUGAAAGACAAAUAAGGAGAAGAAGAAACAAGCGGAUAUAAAAACGGAUAGAGAAGAAAGUCACACAAAGGUUAUCUCGUGUACAAUGUGUCUUUGGCUACCUAAGUGUUCCCUGGAAAAUAAAUUGUCUCUUCUCUUCAUGAUUUUGGGGAGUUAAAUUUUUCCAAACAUAUGAAGGAUAUAUUUUCUUGAAGCAAACAUAUGAAGGAUUUAUAUCAUGCCAUUGUCAACUCUAAGUUGUUUAUACAGUGCAUUCAUCUUCUAUAACUAUUAAUUAAGGAAAAACAUUGUUUUGCUGUAGCGUUUUUUACUUUCCAAGAAUACCUUUAUUUUAUUCUUCAAUUUUAAUUUUAAUUUACACAAUUUGAUGAUAUGGACCGGUAAUAACAGCUUCCAUUGAAAUGUAGGGAUAACUGAUUUGAUGCCCUCAAUCAAACAAAAACUGGAUGAAAAAAAAAAUAAACAGCCUCGCAUCAGAAUAGAUGUGAAGUUGAAACAUGGAAUUUAGUUAUAAAACUGAUAUCAGGAAAUCUGAGAGGGAGGAGGGAAGCCCACAAAGGAAGGGAGCGGCAUAUAAGUUGCGGCUUCAAAUUGCGCUCUCUGCAUAUAAAAUUGUUGGUCGCUGGAACAACCAUAAGAAAGUGCUCUUUCUCUAUCUCAACAUCUCUUUAUGUCCUUUCUCGAUCUCUCUAAUCUCUUUAUGUCCUUUCUCGAUCUCUCUAAUCUCUUUUUUUCUAUCUAAAUUAUGUUCCGCAUCCUUUCGUACAAUUGCAUUGUUGAUUCUUUGAUUUCCUUUUUUUUUCUUCAAAGAAUGGGAAAAUGUUAAAAAUAAAAAGAGUUAAACAGGAAAAAGGAAAAUAUUUAUCGCGUGAAACAUCAUUUACUUAUUCAUGUUGUUUAUCUGCUCUAUUCUUCAGUUUCAGUGUGAAGGAUAGAUUCUUUGUUCAAUAUUAUAUUCUUCAUUUUUUUCCUAUUUAACAGGAAAGUGAAAACUAAGAGGGAUAGCACAGAGAGUUGAAUGAGAGACGGGAAGAAGGAGAGACAGGGAUUGCAAGUGGUUACAUAUCAAUAAAUUAACUAAUCGUUGGAAAGUAUUCCAAGAUGAAAUGGAAAUGUAUUACAUUAUAAUUCUGGAAGUUCUGUUUCACUAUAUAUAUGUAGUUAAUUCCAUGAAUAUUUAGAUAAUCUUUUAUUUAUAUUUCUCCAAUUUUAGUAUGUUAGAAUCAUUAUUGCUUGCAGCAUGGUAACUGUGUACAUUUACUUCUUUUUAUUUUACCUUACAACUGUUACAUUAUUUUACGUGGAGAAACAACCUUAAAGAGGGGAAAUUGGUGGCAAUGCAGAGGGGCUGCUAUCAGCCAAGAUAGACAGAGAGGUUUCCUCAUCGCUUUCAAUGUAUGCUACAAAAAAUGGUCAAAACGUCAGCUUUUCUAAGCCUGGACAGGGUGCACGACCGUGCUCCCUGGGGACAUGACCGUGCGCCCCCAAAACAAAAAAAAUGUCGUAUGAUGAGCAUCGUCGUGCUCCCAAGUGGCACGACCGUGUGCGUUUGUCAGGUGUCAGAAAUCGCAGUUUUGCCAUGAGUUCGCUUAAAGGGAGCUUCCCAAAACCCCAUUUUCGACCUAGAACUCAUCAAACUCGACCCUAAACUUUAACCCAUGAUUACCAUAUCAUUCAAAUACCGAUUAAUUAUUUAUUAACAUAUUAGAUUACCCAUUAUUUUCAAGGCUAACAACUCAAUUCAAAAACCUAAACUUAUUUCCUCUAUUCUCAUCCUUCAACCUCAUCUUUUAAUUCAUUCGUCAGCAAUCUCUAAUCACAAUCUCACAUCAUAACAACAACAUCCUACUCUAACCUCUUUACAACCCCACAAUAAAAACAUAAACCGGCCCUAUAGAUGAAUAGAUUCUCCCCUUACCUCGAAUCCAUAGAAACCUUCGGUUUGGCUCGGUUCAAUGCACUAGGGUUCCGUUUCUCUCCUUCUGCUUCUCUUCUCUCUUUCCCCGGAUCAACAAAACUGAUUUCUAAUCCCUAACAUUCUCAUUUAAACAUGGUCUCAAUAUUCGUUAUGGUUUUCCUCCUUUCCUACGCGCUACAAUUUUACUUCUUCCCUCCCCCACUUAUUUAAAUAUUACUCUCUGCAUCUCCGACUCUUUAUUUAUCUUGUUUGGAUUUCUCUGUUCGUUUCAUUUAAUUUCUCAAACCACUCCUCACUCAACAUCGUUAUAUUAUUCUCUUAUCAACAACAACUGAUCAUAUAUAUAUAUAUAUAUAUAAAAGCAAAACAACACCACUCAUAAUAUUAAUUAAACUUAGAAAAUUAGGGUGUUACAAUUCUACCUAUACAUGAGAAACUUUAUAAAAUCACCAUCAUAAAUUUUUAAAAAUAAGUGUAACUUUGGUCCAUUUUUGCCUCAAUCUUUACGGUCACGACCUUCAUUUUUCGUCUUCAUUCUCUUCAUUCAUUGCCUUGUCUAUCUCCUCCAUAUCUCCUAUGGUGGUCAUCUCUCUCAAUAUAUAUAUGGGGUUUGUUAGGAUACACCCACUAGUUUUUGUUAAGGUGUGUUUUAGCAAAGAUAUAACUAAAAAAUUGUAAAAUACACCUUCUAAAACAUAAGUGGAUGUAAGUUAGCAACUCCCACAAGCAUUUGUUAAAAUACAUCCACUUAUUUUUUAGAAUGAGUGUUUUAACACGUCAUAACUAAAAAGUAGCUAAAUACAUCCAAAGGUGCAUGUUGCUAAAACACAUCUUCAUAAAAACUAGUGGGUGUAUCCUAACAAAUACCUAUAUAUAUAUAUAUAUAUAUAUAUAUAUAAACUCAGUCUACAAAAUAAAACUAAAAACUUGCUCAACAACAAACUAAUUUAAAAUUAGAUAGUGUUUGAUUGAACAUAUGUUGCCACUUCCAAAAUUCAAAUUUGAUAAAAUUAAUUUGUUUAAACCCCAUAUCAAUUUAAAUUAAAAAAAUCCAAAACACGGUUGCCUUUUUUGCUUAAUGUGUGAUCUAAAUUGUGAGAUAGUCGAUGUCAUCAAUUUUAUAUGAAGUCCAAAACUUUGUUUAGUUUUACUAACACUCUUAACAUGUUCCGCAACAAAAAAAAAGGAUAGAAAAAUCCAAGAAGCAUGACAAAUGGUGAGACUUGUUGUAUAUGUAGAACAAACAAAACAUAAACUUUUUGUUCUUUUAUCCUAUAUAUUAAAUAUAACACCCUUUAAUCUAUUAAUAAAAUGCAAUUAGAAAGAAAACAAAAGUGAAAGACUUUGAAAGGAAAAAUUAAUAAAAGUAUGGUAGUAAACUAGCUUGGAAACCCGUGCCAAGCACGGGCUAGAAUUCCGACUAUUAUUUUUUAUUUUUUUAUAUAAAAUUUAAUUAAACGGAAAAUUCAUUAUUUUAUACACAAUAUAUCAAUAAAACGCAUCGUUAUCGUAUUUUCGAUUGCGUAUUAUAUACAAAUAUCAAUGUGUAUAUAGUUAUUUGGAUUUUCGCAUCGUUAAACAGGAAUGAUUUAACGGAUGUAACGUCGAAAUAUUAGUAUUUAAUACCGGAAUAUUUUACACGGAUGACAAAAAUUAAUAACGGAGACAUGAGUCUUGUUUUUUUUUUUUUUGUUGUUCUGCAUAUAACUGGGGGUAUUAGAGUCUCGAGACCUACCACUGCAUAUACAAUUAAUUGUCCCCACCCAACAAAUUGUCUCUCUACCAAAUGCCCUUAUAUCUAGUUUAUUUCAAAUUUCAUGAUUUCUAUAGCGGAUACCCUUAUAUAUACAAAAUUAAUAUCGUGCAUACACUUGAUUCAUCUUAACAUCCAACACGAAUUUGUAAUUAUUCAAUCGCGUAACAAAUAAGUAUAACAAACAACGACAAAUACACCAACUAUCUAUCACAUUUUUUAACUAAGCAUAUUAUAAAAUAACCCAUCAACAAAAACACAAAUAAAAAAGGCUUGAAAAAGGGACUACAAAAUUGUCAUGUGCAUGCACAUAGACAUAGGCGCUCCAAAGAACAAAGAAAAAAAAAGACGGAUAUAUAGCUGAUUGUAUAAAAUAAAAUGAAGCAGAACGACUUACAUUAAGAAAAAUGAGAAAGAUCAUAAGGAUACUAACAUUAUAAAUAACAUUAAAUUGAAUAUGAGAAUAUUGGAGUUGCUCUAUCAAAUAAUAGAAAACUGAAGUCUCAGUAGAUAAACACCUUAAUUUAUCAGGCAGUGUUAAUUUCGCAGCCGAAGAGAAGGCUUGCACCUAUUGCAAUUGGUCAAUUAUAUUUUAAUACCAUAGAAAUUCCAUUAACGUCAGCUUGUGUACAUCUGAAUGAUAUCAUAUCACCUGAAGCACUAAACCAGCACCGGAAGGUGCAUGAGACCAAAAAUAUUGUGAAAAAGGGAUAAAAAUAUAUUACUCCAUGUAACAUAUUAGUCUCUAUAACAAAUCAAUCACUCAAUCUAUUCUUUGCACAACAAUAAAUGUCAUUGGAUUUUAUACAAUGAAAUAAGAAGUUUGAUCUCAACUGUUAGUUGCUGAAUUAGUUUAUCUACAUGACCAAUCCAUUACUCUUUCUUUACGCAACUAUUAGAAUGGUUGCGAGUAGCAACAACCAAUUCAUAUACAAAUAAUAUAUAUAUAUUACAACCAAGUUUAAAAGAGAGAAAAAAAACUCAUACCCACCUACAUCAUCAGGAACGACUGGUUAAGCGUUUCGAAAAAUAUCACGGUACACAACAUUAGUGGUCUCAGUACACACGCGAUUUUCUUCAUCCUGUAUAAGCAUUUUCAAUCCUUUUUUGGAAGUGACUCUGGACACAGCGACGUACAACUGUCCAUGAAUAAAAACCGGUUCGGAAAGUUAGAUUUCAACGACUGACCCUGACUUUUAUUUAUUGUCAUUGCAAAACACAAAACCAACAGGAACUGUCUCGUAGUUAAUUUGACAGGAAUUUUAGGAUCACUUGGAAAUAAGUUCAUUCUUGGAAUAAUUACUUUUUCACCAGCAUUUUUUCGGUGAUAAGAGUUGCACCGAUAAAGUUCUUACAAAGAUUGUCUACAAUCAACCUAGUCCCAUUGCACAAUCCAGUUGCUUGGUCAAUGUUCCAAAUCAACGUAACUGGACAUCCAACUGUAAAUCUCAACUUGUUGUUUGAAAUAUCGAAAAACUUCAUACUGUUUAAUAACUCGGUGGUAAACCAUUCGCUUUGUACCUCAUUAUUCUCGUCUGAUUCACAAACCAAAUCAAAACUGAUAUACUCCUUUUCGUCUACUGGAACCAAUGAUAGGAGGAAUUUGUUUACAUGCUCAAUUGCAUCCAGUGUGGGAGCAAGUAUCCCCCUCUCUUGGAAAAAAAUCCGAGAUCCUUAUGUUUUGCAAAAAAUCCGAAUAUACAAAAUGAACCCGAUAAUGCAACGGAUCAGAGGAAUCUUUUAUCAGCAACUCCUCAUGAAUGAGUACGUUAAUUUCUCCACUCUCGUUGGCAAAUCCUAUUCCAUCUCCAAUUGAAAGCAUCCAAUCAACAAACUUUCUUAUCUCAUCUUGCUCGGCACGAACGGUUGAAGCACGUAAACGCAUAUUUGUUGUAAGUGUGAAAAUAUUACAGUGACUCCACAACUUUGAUGAGUUGAUGGAUGAAGCAAGUAUGUCUUGUCUGCAUCCUUUUCUUAUCACUGGCAAAAUUUGUCUGAAAUCAUCGCCCGAAACCACAGUAACACCCCAAAUGGUUUGUCUGUAUAAUCGACAACAUCAUAAGACAUUAUAUCGCGCAUGGUUCGGUCAAAUGCCUCAAAACAAUAACGAUGCAUUAUUGGUGCCUCAUCCCAUAUUAUUAAUUUUGAACAUAACAGUUUUGUCGCUCUCUUUAUCGAAUCCAUAAUUUGACGCUUUGUACCUCAUUAUUCUCGUCUGUUUGCAAACCGAAUCAUAACUAAUAUAUUCCUUUUCGUCUUCUGGAACCAAUGAUAAAAUGAAUCCGUUUACGUGCUCAACUACGUCCAGUGUGGGAUAAAGUAUCCCCUGCUCUUGGAAAAAAUCCAAGAUCUUUAUGUUUUGCAAAAAAUCCGGAUAUAAAAAAAAAAAAAAAAAUCAAGGGGCUGAAAAAAAUCUUAAUAUUUAUGGAGAACAUUUACAUAAUUAACCAUUUUUUACUGUAAAAUUUUGUUUUUGGAUGUCAUUCACUUUCAUUUUUUUUUUUUGUAUUCAAACUCUAUUUUUUCAAACUCCUUCGCAUAUGAGCUAUGAUGUGGUGUGACAAUGAAAAAUGUACAUGUGUUAUGAUGAAUUUACAAAAUACAUGUUUAUUAUUAGACAUUUUAAAAUGAUACAACGUUUUUUUAAAUAAGUAAAUUUUUUGUAAUAAUUACCAAAAAAUCUUCAACUCCUUCAACAAAACCACAUAAUUACCGAUAAUUCAAUCUAUUUUUUAUACUCUCACGGACAAAACACGCACUACAUAUUUUUCACCUUAAUGUUUCUCCCAUGUUCAAUUUUCUUCUUCUUCAUGUUUGUUUUAUUUUUCUAUCUAGUUUCCUUUCUCUAUUCUCAUGGAUGAAAGGAAUAUAAACCUCCCUUCAUGAAAUCACCACCAAUCAACUUUUUUAAACAUGAUGUACCUAAUUUUGACCUUAUUUGACUACGUUACAUAAUUAUGGACGUAGAUAGUCACAUUAUUCAUUAGGAUAUGUUAAUGUGUCAAAUGUGAGUUAACAUUAUACACUGGAUGGAAGAGUAGAUUUUGAACAACAUAUAAGUGAGAUGACCGAAAUACAUAAUGUCUUAAGGUUUUAUGUAAAGAUGUGGUGUCAAACUCACUUGUAUGGUUGUUACCGACGUAAUACGUUCAUCUAAGAUGUGGUGUCAAUCUCACUUGUAUGAUAAUUUAUUUUGUUAGUUUUCAGUUGUCAAAUGUUUAUUUUUUUUUAUCUUAAACUUUAGUUAUUGGAUGUCAUUCUCUUUCAUGCUAUAUUUUUUUUGUUAUUCAACCUCAACUACUUCAAACUCCUUCACUUUUAUUCUUUGGUGAAAUUUGACAAUGAAAAAAAACAUAUGUGUGUUGUUGAUUUGACAAAAUAAAUACUUAUUAAAAAUUUUAAAAUAACGUGGCGUUUUUUUAGUUAGUCUAAUAUUUUGGUUAAAUAUUUACUAAAAAAUGUCCAACUCCUGAAUCGAACCAGUAAAAUUAUCGACAAUUCAGUUUAUUCUUUAUACGUUCCCAUAAAAGCACACACUACUUUAGGAUGCUAAAGUAGAUAUUACAUAUAAGUUAGAUGACCAAUAUACUUGAUGAUUUAAGGUUUUGGUUCAUUUUGUGGUGUCAUUUUUUCAACUCCUUCAAAAAAUCCACAAAAUUACCAACAACCUUUGGACAAUAUGGUUGAGAUAUGGUUUGGGUAAAAAAUCCCAAUUAGCAUGAACAAUUAAACCAACAAACUCUUUUAGUAAAAAAUCAAGAUGAGAUAUGGUUUGGGUAUAAGGGAUAUUUCAUUUGUCAUUAUUAAUUUGAAAUAAAAAUUCAUUUUCUUGUUCAAUGCGGUUUUUCAACUUAAGGGUUUAAUCUAGUAGUAGAAGGACAAACUUUGAAUUUCGAGAUUUUGAGUUACGAACUCAGCUAGUAUCCUUGGAGAUAAGUAAACAUAAAUAUAUUUGUGAGUGCUCUUUUAUCUCUAAGGUGCAUGUAGAGAAGGGUGGCUAUAGAAACACCCUAUCUCUAUUUACUUUUGCGAGGGACCCCUAAAUAAAUUGUAUAAAAAAAAUUGUUGAAAAUUCGUAAAAUUGAAAUUUACAAAACCACUGAGUUAUUGCUAAAAUUUAAUUUUUGAUAUCAUUCAAAUCUCCUUUUAAAUUGUGUUUGUUACUAUUAUUUCUUUAAAAAAAGUUCCUUUAGAAUAUGUCAGAGAGACUUUAGGCCUUAGGGUGUGUUUAUUGCAAGGUUUGUAAUAUGACUCCUAGGAACGUGAGAUUAGAAAUAUGCAAUAUUUCCACGUAUGUUUCAAGUUUUGAAAAUUUGUUCCCAUGAAUAUUAUAUUAUGAGGAAUGUUAUUUACACAUGUUUUCUUCUAUUGUUAUUUUCAUACUUAAAGGAUGGGAAUCUAAAAUUUUCAUGGUAAUAAAACUCAAUUUGCCAUAAAUUCUCACUACCAUUAACCUUUAUUUCCAUUUUUAUUUUUUUAAUUAAUUAAUUUCUAAAAUAUUUCAGGAAACCUAAAUUUUUACCAAGCAUGGGUAGGUAUUUCGUUUCAAGGACUGUAAUAUCUUGCCUUGAAACAAACACACCAUUAAUUUUUCAUAAAAUAAAUUGAGGCUUUUGAAAGACUACUAUCAUAAUCUACAAUUUACAAUUUAAAAAAAAUGUCAUUUUUAUUAUAAAAAAUUUAGGUGAGUUAGACUCUGGAAGACACAUAGAGAUCAAGAUAUGUCUCAUGACUCAAUGAGCACUUACAAAGUUACUCCCUAUUAAAGAUAUCAUCACACUAAUAGUGGUGUUUGAAUCCACGCCCUUGAGGUUGAGUCAACUCGUUAUUAGCUGAGCCAACCUUGAUUAGAAAUGUUAUUAUUAGUAUUAAUAGCAAAAAUAGUGAUUCAAAACAUGAUAUCAUAUAAUGAUAUCAUUUAAAUAACUUUUUUUUUCCAUCUGACCCAAUAAAUGAGACAUUUAAUAGAAACAUUUUAAUUUAAAUGGUCAUAUUAAUGAGUCUUAAUUUAUUUUAUCAUGAUUAUACUUAAUAACAAAAAAAAAAUAAAAAAAAUAAAAAAAUUAAAUUAUUCAAAUUGAAGUAUUCGAAAUUUAAUGAUAUUUUAUUUUUGAAAAUUUAGCGAUAAUUUUUUAAAGUACAUGAAAUAUUCCUUUUUAAAAAUUGGAUGUGAAACAAAGAUAAAAAACUUAAAAUAUUUUUGUUUUUAGUUUAUUUAAAAAAAAUAAAAUAUUCAAUAGUUUUUUCUAAGUAACCUCAAUUAUUUAAAUUUCAACAGUACAUCAUUUUUUAUUUGCUAUAUAAUUAAAAAAAAAAAUUAUUUCAUUUAAUUUAAGGCUACAAUUAAGGAUCUUAUUUAAAGAAUGUUUUAUUUUUUUUGUCUGACCUAUUAAACGACAAAGUUUAAUAUUUAUAGAAUCAACCCAAUUCAAAUGACACAUAAAAUUUAAUUAUUUUAAAUUAUAUAAAUAUAAAAUUUCAAAAUUUAAUGACAAAUAUUUUUCUGUAAAUUAAAAUAUUCUAUUAAAAGAAUUGAAUAUAAAACAUUGUCUUGACUAAAAAUUAUAUUGUUGAUGUUGAACAUCUUGAAGUCGUAGAACGUAGACACAUGCUCUCCAAUGGAACCCUAAGAAAGUAGCAUUAACAAUAAACAAUUAGAUACAAAUAAAAAAGAAAAUCAACCCCAUAAUCUACAACCAAGUGAUUAAUCUUAUAUGCUUUUAAAACACAUAAAAUACUCAUUUUUACGACGAAAAUUUUGGGAGGAAUAGACACAUGAAAAUAAUGAAAAACAAAGUGUUAAAAUCAUUGCGUAAUCAAUUUUGAUUGGCUGGUGAAAACUAAAUGAGUCAUGGUCCGUCUUGAUUGGCUAAUAAAAAAAUAAAUGAGUCAUCAUUCACUUUUGAUUUUUGGUUGGAUUUGACAAUAAAAAAUUGCAUGUGUUUUACUAAUUUGACAAAAAUAAAGGGUUGUUAUAUUUAUUAUUAAACAAUGUGACAUUUUUUUAUUUAGUUUAAUUUUUUGGUAAAAUAUAUACUAAAAAAUUUCAAACUCCUUCAACAAACCUGUAAAUCACCAUGAAUUAACUCUAUUCUAUAUACUCUCAUAGACAAAGCACAAACAUUCUAUUUUUUUUCCUUAUCAUCUCUCUCAUUUUUGAAUUGCUUUUUUGUCUUCUUUCUUUUUCUAAUUUACUUUCUCUCUUCUCUUCAAUAAAAAGAAUAAAAACCUUCAUCCAUUAAACCACCACCAACCCACUUUUAUAGCAUGUUAUGUCUUCUCUAAUCUUAUUUGGUUAAGUUACCAAAUUACAAAUGUACAAAGUCUUACAUGUAAAGGAGAUAUGUUAAUAUGUCAUAUAUGAGUUAAAACUCCAUAUUGGAUGCAAGCGUAUGUGGUGAGAAACAUAUAAAUGAGAUGGCUCAUAUACGUGGUGGGUUAAAGAUUAGGACGAAGAUGUGUUGUAAAUUUCAUCUUUGUGGUUAUGCUUAGCCUAAUACGAUUAUCCAUGAGAAGACUUUUGGUAUUUGCUGGAAAUUAACCAUGAAAAAUAUUGAUGUGUUACUUGAGCUGAUAAAUUACAUAUUUAUUUAACAUUUUAAAUGAUGUGAUAUUUUUUUUUUUAAUUAAGUAAAAAAGAAAUGGUAAAAAGAAAUGUCAUAUUAAGUAUUCCCUUAAUUAAGGGGUGUGAUUGUAAAAAGAAGUGGUAUACUUAUUCAGUCAUUUAAAUUGAAAAUAAAUCAUACUUACAUCAAAUUGAAUAAAAUAUCUACAUUUACGAUGAUGUGUAUUAUUUAUUUUUUUAUGAACGAUGAUGUAUAUACUUGUUAGUAAGCAUUCCAUUAAAAUUCACCAAAAGAAAAAUAUGCUUGUUGAUGGACAUAUUCAAAAUUACCAAAAAAAAAAUAAGAGAAUAUAUUUUGAAUUGUGAACGUUUUUCAAACAAAAUAAACUUGUUAUUUUUAAUUUAUUUAUUUUUUUAUAUGUGAAAGUUUAGUGAGUGAAUGUCUGUCCUUACUCCUUGCUUAGCAAAAAAAAAGUUUAGUGAGUGAGACUCCAAGGACUCGUCUGAAUUAGGGUAGAUUUUGAGAUUUAUCAAGCUCUAAUCGAGAUGCUUACGUAUCACCCAUCAAGAAGUUUUCACGUUAGAAGUAAAAGCAAAACUCACGACAAUUGAACCAAAUCUUCGUUGAGUAAGAAUAUAUGUUUUUGAUACUAAAUGGGAGAAAUUCCUAAAUUGAAAGUUGAAUUAGGAAAACAUGUUAGUACCACUUGAAAGACAUUUAUUAAUCAAAUUAGUAAACGCCCACAAUUAAUAUAUAUGGGCAUAAUUUGACCCAAAAAAACAAAUAUGGAUAUAAUUGAUUUUUCGUGUAAAUGCUGAUAUAAAAAACAUUUAAUUUUUUUGAUAUGAAAAACAUUUAAUUUAGAAUGGUACCAUAAUCAUCAUGGAAAAUUUUAAAUAUUUAUUUGAAUAUUUUGUUUUAUAAAAAUGAAAUAUCAUAGCAUUAAAUGAGGUAGGAAAUGAGAGAUCGCCACGUGUACUUUAUAUAAUAAACAUUUGUCUUGCAUUACAUUAUUUUUGUCAAAAAAAGUAAUGUAAGACAAAUAUUUAUUAUAAAGAUAAAGAUUUAUAGUGUGAUUGAGAAUGUGCCUAGAUUGUCGAUAUAUGUUGAUUUAGUUGAUAAUAAAUUGACUCAGAUCUCCGUUGUGUGAGUAUGAUUCUCACUAUCAGCGUUAGGACAUUCUCGAUGGAUAAUACAUAUAUACGUUUGUAAUCUCUCUUUGAGCCUUGAGGUUUUCUCUUUGGACUCAACUCACCUAAAUAAAGAGAGAUAUUGACACACAAAAAACCUCACCUAAAUAAAAUUAUUAUAAAAAAAAGACGAAUAUGUUUUUUUACGGGAAAAGAUAGUAUGUUUAUAUGAGUAAAAAAAGAAACAUACUUGUAUGGUGCGCCUUUUUUUUUUUGUUGCUAUUUUUUAUUGUUAUGAAAACAUUAAGAUAUAUUAAUUUCCAACUUUUAAUCUCAUGAUAUAAAUCAAUGCAAGAUUUUUCCUAAAUAAUUCCUUUCCAUUUGAAAAAUAUGUACACUUGAAUGUCUAUGAUUAGGAAAAAAAUGUGAAGACCAAAUGUUGAUUGCAAUUAAAUUGAAGAAAUCAAAUAAGAAAAAGGGGACAAUAGCCUUUACGGGUUUUCAAGGAAAGUAAUGUCAUUCAUUUUGCAUAUUAAGUAACGCUAGCAACACACAUUUUAACAUACAUUUUUUAACAGACUCUCUUUGAUUAGUUAAAACUCACAUGAGUUCCACUAAAUCUAUAUGGGUCUCACAUGAUUUGGUGGGACCCGUGCACAUUUUAACUAAUAAAAAAAGUAUGUUGAAAAAUGUGUGUUAAAAUGUGUGUUGUUAUCAUUUCUCUUUUCAUAAGACUACCUUUUUAGAGGUUUUAAGAGAUCAUUUCAUUAAUUUUAUUUAUAGUAUAAAUCAUUAUAGUCAUUAAUUUCGAUUAUUAAUAGCACAUGCAUAUUCAUUCGUUCGCAGUAACAAAAAAAUAAUAAAAAAUUCGUUAGAAAAUAAAAAAACAUGCAUAUUCAUUCAAUAAUAAUAAAUGGUUUUAGCAAAGAGCAUAUACAUUAAUAUACACGGUUUUAAUUUUUUUUUCUUCAAUUUACUAUUAUUUUGUUGCAUACAUUGAUACACCAUAAAAAAAAACUUGUAAUAUUCGGAAGAAAUAAAAAAGAAUAUUGUAAAUAAAUGCUAAUUUUUUUUACAUCAUGUUCAUUUUUUAAGUGUUUUGAAUCUGAUUGGCUUGGAAAUUAUCAUUGGCUUGAAUGACUUAUAAUAUAAAUGAUGACAUAUAUAAAAUACAAAUGUCUUUUUCAGUUAUUCAUAACACAAAAUUCAUAAUAAUAUCCUCCACUUAUUUGGUCAAACAAAUAUCGUGAGCUUAACUCAGUUGGUUUAUCUUGCAUUUUUUGCAAAAAAAAAAAAAAUACCUUCCAUAUUUAUCCUGCAUGAUUGAUGCAUUUAUGUGUAUCAUUAAUCAUUUAGUAACAAAAGUCAUUUAUCUUUAUUGAUACAUUUAUGUGUAUCAUUUAGAAACAAAAAGAAGGUCACAUUUAUGCAAAAAUUAAUUUAUAUUUCUUUGGAGGGGACUAAUUAGCUAUAAUUUUCUUUAAAAAUAUAGUGGAAAAAAUCGACUAUGUUUUUGUUGUUGGGGUUAACCCUCCGGUCAUGGAGGAAAAGGACCUGAGUAAUUCUUGCAAAGAAGAAAUUAAAGUCUUAUCAAGAAUUAUUUCACAAAAUAAUCAAAAUCAAGUUUUCUUAAAUAAUUUAUCUUUUAGUAGAGCUCGUUAACCACUCUUGUCCUAUUAAUUGUUUCAAAUUUACAAUUAUUUAAAAUGAUUGUACUACCCCUUUAAGAUCGAAAAUAAUGUUGUGAUGAAAAAACUAAUCCGAACAAUAUUAUACGUAUAAAUGACAUAAUAAGAAACACCAAAUCAAUAUUUGAAUUGAAAUAUCUAAAGGUACACUAUCCACUCCGCAUAAUUUCACAAAAUUUAGUUUGUAUUCAUGUUUCCUUGUCCAAUAAGCUCCAAGAUUUGUAGCGCAACAUCAAAGUAGACCUUUCCUUCAUUCAAAUCCUUCUGAAAUUUGUAGAUCAUAUUUAUUCAUACAAUAGCAUGAAUUUUGUUACCCUGAAAAUGCAAGUAGUUAAAUAGAAGGAAAAAAAAACGGAACUCUGGAUAAAAAAAUAUUUGAAGGAAAACUAAAUACAAAAUUUUCACACCUACAUGCUAUAACAAAAAGGCACAUAAAUACAACCACAAUGAAAAACAAUCAUAAAAAGUACACUCUAAACCUAAAUUAUGAACACAAAAUGUCUUUUAUUUUAUGAGAGGAAGAGGUAGAUGGAGAUAAUGAAAAACAAAUUGUUUAUAUAUAGAAAAAAAGCAUGUCAUGAUCAAUUUUGAUUGGCUCAUAAAAAAUAAAUGAGUCAUGAUCUCUUUUGAUUGGCUAAGAAAAAAAUUAUGAGUCAUGAUCCAUUCUGAUUGGUUGAUAAAAAACAUUAAAUGUAAAUUGUGUGUACAUAAGAAAUAACAUUAAAUGAUCUUUUCAUAAUAGGUUGCCACGUGUACUUUUAAAAAAAAAAAUAGUGCAAAUAUAUAUAAUAAAGAUAAAGAUAGCCAUCCAAUUAAUCCACAAAAAGUAAACACUUACAAAUUAGAGUUCCUAAAAUCGUGUCACGAAAUAGCCAUCGUGACACGUUUUAACCAAUGUCGAAUGAACCUCAUCAUGUGCUUCAAAUCGUGACACGUUUUUCAGUAAUCGUGACACGAUGCCCUCUUUUCAGUUUCUUCAGUUUUUUCUCUUUUGCUGCAUAAGUUGCCUUGUGAACUUCAAUUUGUGAUCAAAAUACAUAUAAAAAAAGACUCUAGAAAUAGCGAAUGACGGACUGUCAUCACCUCCUUUAGACUAAAAGGUUUUAAAAGAUCAACUCCCUGCGACAAACUUAAAGAUUUGAAAUUAAAGUAAGUUUUUCUUGGACAUUAGAAACCCUUUCCACUUAAUGACCAUUAACAUUUAUAGAGUAGAAUGCAAUAGAUUGACAUCUACAAGAUAAAAAUCCAUGCAAGAAUUUAGAAAUCCCUGUUUCAAUCAACACAUUCUUGAUUUCUAAUAAUGCAUGCUUGAAUUGAUUCUUGCCAAAAAGUGUAAAUUUAUCCCUGUUUCAAUCAACACAUUCUUGAUUUCUAAUAAUGCAUGCUUGAAUUGAUUCUUCCAAAAAGUGUAAAUUUGCAGAUAAACAAUGAAGCUCCUCUACCUCAUCCCCCUUUAAUGCACUAACUUCAGCUUUUAAAUUUAAAGAUGAAAUGCGGUCUUUAACAUCAAGGAUUCUGCUUUUCAAAUUUUGGGUAUAUUGCUGAAACCAGGAUUUUAGACUACCUUUAAUCAACUUAAAUUUUCUUUUAACGCAAAACUUCUCCAACCUCACACUUGAAAGGAAUGUCAUUACUCUUUAACAAACUAUGAUAACCUAGAAGGUCCUCCCAAGGGCCAAGGUCCCCAAUUCUUCUCAUCAAUAGAUAAAGAAACCAGACAAUGAUCNCACUGAUCACGAAGGAACGAGUGAAGAGAAGAGAGAAAGAAGAUGAAGAUCUAAACCGGCAAAGAAGAAAAAAGGAAUCAAACCAGCAAACAACAUCGAUUUAUUUUCGAUUUCCAGCAAAAGUCAACAAACAAGAUCAAAUCGAAGAUUUUCGAAGAAUCUUUGAUUCGAAAUUUUCCAGAAAAAUCACAGGUAAACUCAAACCUCAUCUUUUCUUUCUCAAGAACAAUAAUAAGAACGAAUCAAUGUAGAUCUUCAAAGUUUCAAAGAGUUUCUUUCAAAAAAACUGAAAACCUAAAAAAAAAAAAAGAUUUCAAAACCGUAACAAAAAAUGUAGAUCUACAAAGAUUCAAGCCUUGCAUGUGAUUUCUAGCUUUAGAUUCAUGAUUAGAUUGAAAAGACGAGUGGUUUAGGGUUAGUUUGGUUUAGAUCUGGAAAAUUAGGUCAACCGGAACCUGGAGUUUCUCGCCGGAGAAGAUGAAGAUUCCGGCGAACCUUGAAGGUUCUGGCCGAUCUUCAUCUUUCUCAGCCGUUUCUUUCAGAAACCGGCUAAGGUGAGAAGAGAGAGGGAGGAGAGAGGCGAGAGCUUCUCUCACUAGUUUAGGGUUAGAGAGAGAGAGAGCAUAGAAGAAUGGAAAAACCGGCGUGAGCUCGCUUUUAUAGACCCCUAGACCGGACCGGUUCAAGACCGGUCCAAUCCCUUGCAAUCUUGAGCGUUGGAUCUAGGGUUUCCCUCCCUGGAUCAAUCCAACGCUCCCUUUGCUUCCAGGCUUUUAGGUUUUGGGCUUGGGCCUUUUUCUCUCCAGUUUCCUACGUUUUUUUUGCUUUUUCCUGCUAUCUGCACCCUGCUUCUUUGCUAAUUGAACCUCUGCAUGCUCAAUCUUUUCUCUAAAAAUUCCUAAAAGAUUGUUAUAUGUUUCUUAGUACAUUUUAACACUUUUGUGAUAUUUUUCAGUGGUUUAAAAAAUGAUAAAAAUGUGUGUGUUAUUUCUUCUUGAUCAAUUUUGUGUUUGAUCUAAGUUUGUGUAUUUUUGUGGUAUAUUUUCUCAUAAAAUGUUGGCAUGUGAUGUGGAUGAUUGGUGUGUAAUUUCAUGGUGAAUAUGUUGCUGAUCACAUGUAUGUUUUGCUGAUUGUGGAUGUGGAUUUUCAUGUCUUUCUUGUUUUGCAAGCAAUGUGUGUUUUUAUCAAGAAAUAAAGUGCAAAAUAUCUUUAAAAAAUGUGUCAUGAUUCUUGGCUUGAAUAUGUCCUAUUUAUUCCCACAUUAUAGCUCAAAAUCAAACCCCUUUAACAUUGCUAUAAUGAGGGGAUUAUAGGUCAUGUGCAUGUCUAAGUGUCAUAACCAAUUUUAGGUAUAUUUUGCCANAAUCUCUUUUGAUUGGCUAAGAAAAAAAUUAUGAGUCAUGAUCCAUUCUGAUUGGUUGAUAAAAAACAUUAAAUGUAAAUUGUGUGUACAUAAGAAAUAACAUUAAAUGAUCUUUUUAUAAUAGGUUGUCACGUGUACUUUAAAAAAAAAAUAGUGCAAAUAUAUAUAAUAAAGAUCACUCACUCUCCUUCACAGAACUUCCCUCUCUUUCUACUUCAUCCCUUUCAGAAACAAAAAAAAUAGAAGUCAAGAAAGUAGAAAAAAGAGAGAUAAGAGAAGAAGAAAUUUUUUGUUAACCUCCUCCUUGGUUCUUCCAAUUUUUUGUUUUAUUGAAGGAAAUGGUUCUUCCAAUAUUUAUGAGUAAACUUACCUUCACAAACCAACCGUAAGUUUAAUGUGGUCAUGAUUCAGUUGGUGGUUUUGAUGUGAAGUUACACAUAGAAAAAGUUUGAAAUGGUAGUAGGGGUAUUUUUCAAUUUAAAAAAAGGCCACACCAAAAACAAAAUUUUCCCCCUUUAUUAGAUGUUAUAGAUUAUUGUCCUAGUGAGCUUAACUCAGUUGGUAUGGACAAAACAUAAUAUAUGCAAGGUCCGGGAUUCUAACCCCGGCCACCACAACAAAAAAAAAGAUGUUAUAGAUUAUUAAUUGUCGUCCUUCCCAUCGUUUUUGCGCCAAGAUCAUAUAGGUGCAAGUAGACCCAAAAAGUUGGAAAAACGCAGUCUCGUGUGGUGUCCCCAUUACAAAGGGUGGCUAUCUUCUCAGUCUACAUUUGUCGCCGACGCCUUCGUCUUAUAUUCUUCAUCCGCCUUCUCUCUCGUAUGGUUGGUUGUUUCCCAUUUCCUUAACGUACCUUCUCUCUCUCAUACAGUGUGUAGUUUAUUAUUUCUUACUUUGGUCGCUACUCCUUGUGUUUGAUAUGCUAGAUGAUGGGUUGUCCCUCACAUUAUAUCAUCAUUAUAGGCAUAGCUCUCCAAUUUACCAUAAACUAAGCCGCUAAAAAAAGAAAAAUUAACACAUAUAAUUUCAUCUAUGAAUUAUCUACACAAAAACAAUGAAAAUAAAGUAGAGACAGAGAGAAAGAAUGGGAUAAGAAAUAGAAUGAUAUAAAAGAGUUGGGAAGGAACUGGCACCGCUAGAAACUCUCGAUUUUCCUGCGGAAUACUUGCGGAAAAGAGUGAAUAAUCCGCAGGAAACGUGUUUCCUGCGGAUUUUGCCAAGGAUUUUCACUCCCAGGUAAUACCUUCGUGGGUAAUUAUUUCCUGUGGAUUUUAGGAACCGCAGAAUAUAUUCCUACGGAAAUUUCCUCAGGCAAAGUGAAAUAUAUCUGCAGGAAACCUUUGGUCAGAGUGGGAGUAGUUUCCCUGCCCGUGAAUGUUUCGUGGGAAAAUACCGCAGGUAUUCCGAACGGGACAUAGCAUAUGCUUCUUUUUAAAACCAUAUAAGGAGUAAAAUAUCCAAAAAUAGCAUACACUAAAAAAAAACAAUGGCAAUAUAAACUUGUUCAUUGUAACAAAAAUACUAGUCAUAAAAUACAUCAAGUCUCCAUAUGAAGUUACAGAAGGGAACAUGAUUCAUGUUAUGGAAAUAACUACAAUGUAAUUUUGCACUGUCUUAUGCUCUUAUUCUUGCAGCGUGCUCUUCUGCCAAUUGUUUCUCAAACCUUGUAGUUUCCCCUUCAACUUCAACUCAAUCUACAAAACCAUAUUCAAGUUCACGUACCCUUGUUUCUCUUUCCAUUCUCAAUUACAUGACAAGAAAAACUUCAGAACUAAUGCAGGUGCCUUAUUUUUUUCUGUUUUAUCAUCAAACAACAAAAUGAACCCCCACAACUUGAAACUCUUCAAUUAAAACCAACAUGCAAAAUCACAAAAUGUCCUUCAUGUUUCUGCAUGUUUUGAUUGACAAUGAGUUUGGUAGAGUCAUAGUCUUCCACCGUGAUUUUAGCAAAAACUAUACUUUGAAACUUCAACAAAAUCACAGUGUACCUUAAUUUUGACAAAUCCCAACCGUCUGAGUGGGGAAUGUCCAAAUUAUAACUUAGAUGUGGUCGACCAGAUAAAUCCUGAAAAAGAAAAGAGUUAAAAUGCAGUAGUGAAGUGAACAAAACAAAUUAUUAGUUUCAGAGGACUAUGAUUCACACCUGCUAUCACAAUUAUUGUAAUGGCCUGAAAAAUAACGAAUACAUACCAGUGAAACGUGUAUCAAUGCUUCAUCAAGAGGAGCAGAGAAGUCUCCGAACGGGUUAAUUCCUUUUCUAUCUCCAAGGGCUUGCAACAAAGCCUGCAGAUGUCUGAUGUAGUAACAGAAAACUUAGUUUAAUGAGAUAAUACACGAUCGCAAUUUCAAUAAGUUCCAUGAUAAAUGCAAAUCUUAUUCACUGUAUAAUAAAUCAUGCACAUCAAUAAUUACGUAAAAUCUUGAAAUCAAUAAAGUGAAGCAAUUUUGAGUUUCAAGUUAAGAAAUUGCGGUAUUACGGUACGUUCCGAAAGCAAAAGCAACAUCUUCAUUCUUCAUUUGUGUGAUGAUCAUCAAUGUGGCCUUCAAGUGUAUGUCAUAUAGUCCAUGUGAAGCAAGUUGCUGAACAAUCACAAUCAAGUUUAGGUUACUUCAUUGAACAAAUUUUAUUUUCUAUCAUGAACAGUUCUUAAUUUGCACUUUGAAGUUAGCAUCAAGAAAGCAGAAAGUAAUUUCCUAACUAUGAACAAUGAUCAGAUUAUGACUCAGAUCUAUCCAAAAAAACAACUCAACAUCACAAGACUGUUUUUCAUUCCACAAAACUAUCAUUUUCAUUCUUGUUUUCAAAUAUUUGUAUAGAAAAAGAAAAAAUAGACUAUAUUUGCAUAUGAAACAAAGAAAAAAAGAUAGAUUUUUUAAUUAAAAAUGAAAUCAAGAAACAUCUAAACUAUUCCAGUCAUCUGAAAGUUCUCCCAUAUCAAACCCUGAUCAUUGUUAAAUAACAAAAUGUAAGGUUAUAAUAUAUACUUAUCUGUGCAUACUUAACAGUUAUACAACUAGAAAGUAAUAUCAAUCUAAAUCUAAGUGAUUAAGUAUCAAGUUUAAUUCCAUUGCAGCAGUAAUGAGCAUCAUUUCUUAUGCAAGCUAAUAAUGCAGGAACAACAGAAAAUUGUGUAAUCAUAACUGUUAUACCCUGAUUUUGGACCUAAAAAUACUCAUUCAAAUUUCUUUUCUAACACUGAUACUUGUCAAUUCGCUGUUGUUUUACUCUGAAUCUUUGCUCUCUUUUCAUCUGCAUAUUUUACUAUCUCUGUCUCAAAGUACGUUCAAGCUCGAUUUUCUUGCAUAAAAUUAUUCAAAGUGUCUUUUCUUGCAUUACAAGUCAUUUAAGAACUCUCUGAAACGUNNNNNNNNNNNNNNNNNNNNNNNNNNNNNNNNNNNNNNNNNNNNNNNNNNNNNNNNNNNNNNNNNNNNNNNNNNNNNNNNNNNNNNNNNNNNNNNNNNNNNNNNNNNNNNNNNNNNNNNNNNNNNNNNNNNNNNNNNNNNNNNNNNNNNNNNNNNNNNNNNNNNNNNNNNNNNNNNNNNNNNNNNNNNNNNNNNNNNNNNNNNNNNNNNNNNNNNNNNNNNNNNNNNNNNNNNNNNNNNNNNNNNNNNNNNNNNNNNNNNNNNNNNNNNNNNNNNNNNNNNNNNNNNNNNNNNNNNNNNNNNNNNNNNNNNNNNNNNNNNNNNNNNNNNNNNNNNNNNNNNNNNNNNNNNNNNNNNNNNNNNNNNNNNNNNNNNNNNNNNNNNNNNNNNNNNNNNNNNNNNNNNNNNNNNNNNNNNNNNNNNNNNNNNNNNNNNNNNNNNNNNNNNNNNNNNNNNNNNNNNNNNNNNNNNNNNNNNNNNNNNNNNNNNNNNNNNNNNNNNNNNNNNNNNNNNNNNNNNNNNNNNNNNNNNNNNNNNNNNNNNNNNNNNNNNNNNNNNNNNNNNNNNNNNNNNNNNNNNNNNNNNNNNNNNNNNNNNNNNNNNNNNNNNNNNNNNNNNNNNNNNNNNNNNNNNNNNNNNNNNNNNNNNNNNNNNNNNNNNNNNNNNNNNNNNNNNNNNNNNNNNNNNNNNNNNNNNNNNNNNNNNNNNNNNNNNNNNNNNNNNNNNNNNNNNNNNNNNNNNNNNNNNNNNNNNNNNNNNNNNNNNNNNNNNNNNNNNNNNNNNNNNNNNNNNNNNNNNNNNNNNNNNNNNNNNNNNNNNNNNNNNNNNNNNNNNNNNNNNNNNNNNNNNNNNNNNNNNNNNNNNNNNNNNNNNNNNNNNNNNNNNNNNNNNNNNNNNNNNNNNNNNNNNNNNNNNNNNNNNNNNNNNNNNNNNNNNNNNNNNNNNNNNNNNNNNNNNNNNNNNNNNNNNNNNNNNNNNNNNNNNNNNNNNNNNNNNNNNNNNNNNNNNNNNNNNNNNNNNNNNNNNNNNNNNNNNNNNNNNNNNNNNNNNNNNNNNNNNNNNNNNNNNNNNNNNNNNNNNNNNNNNNNNNNNNNNNNNNNNNNNNNNNNNNNNNNNNNNNNNNNNNNNNNNNNNNNNNNNNNNNNNNNNNNNNNNNNNNNNNNNNNNNNNNNNNNNNNNNNNNNNNNNNNNNNNNNNNNNNNNNNNNNNNNNNNNNNNNNNNNNNNNNNNNNNNNNNNNNNNNNNNNNNNNNNNNNNNNNNNNNNNNNNNNNNNNNNNNNNNNNNNNNNNNNNNNNNNNNNNNNNNNNNNNNNNNNNNNNNNNNNNNNNNNNNNNNNNNNNNNNNNNNNNNNNNNNNNNNNNNNNNNNNNNNNNNNNNNNNNNNNNNNNNNNNNNNNNNNNNNNNNNNNNNNNNNNNNNNNNNNNNNNNNNNNNNNNNNNNNNNNNNNNNNNNNNNNNNNNNNNNNNNNNNNNNNNNNNNNNNNNNNNNNNNNNNNNNNNNNNNNNNNNNNNNNNNNNNNNNNNNNNNNNNNNNNNNNNNNNNNNNNNNNNNNNNNNNNNNNNNNNNNNNNNNNNNNNNNNNNNNNNNNNNNNNNNNNNNNNNNNNNNNNNNNNNNNNNNNNNNNNNNNNNNNNNNNNNNNNNNNNNNNNNNNNNNNNNNNNNNNNNNNNNNNNNNNNNNNNNNNNNNNNNNNNNNNNNNNNNNNNNNNNNNNNNNNNNNNNNNNNNNNNNNNNNNNNNNNNNNNNNNNNNNNNNNNNNNNNNNNNNNNNNNNNNNNNNNNNNNNNNNNNNNNNNNNNNNNNNNNNNNNNNNNNNNNNNNNNNNNNNNNNNNNNNNNNNNNNNNNNNNNNNNNNNNNNNNNNNNNNNNNNNNNNNNNNNNNNNNNNNNNNNNNNNNNNNNNNNNNNNNNNNNNNNNNNNNNNNNNNNNNNNNNNNNNNNNNNNNNNNNNNNNNNNNNNNNNNNNNNNNNNNNNNNNNNNNNNNNNNNNNNNNNNNNNNNNNNNNNNNNNNNNNNNNNNNNNNNNNNNNNNNNNNNNNNNNNNNNNNNNNNNNNNNNNNNNNNNNNNNNNNNNNNNNNNNNNNNNNNNNNNNNNNNNNNNNNNNNNNNNNNNNNNNNNNNNNNNNNNNNNNNNNNNNNNNNNNNNNNNNNNNNNNNNNNNNNNNNNNNNNNNNNNNNNNNNNNNNNNNNNNNNNNNNNNNNNNNNNNNNNNNNNNNNNNNNNNNNNNNNNNNNNNNNNNNNNNNNNNNNNNNNNNNNNNNNNNNNNNNNNNNNNNNNNNNNNNNNNNNNNNNNNNNNNNNNNNNNNNNNNNNNNNNNNNNNNNNNNNNNNNNNNNNNNNNNNNNNNNNNNNNNNNNNNNNNNNNNNNNNNNNNNNNNNNNNNNNNNNNNNNNNNNNNNNNNNNNNNNNNNNNNNNNNNNNNNNNNNNNNNNNNNNNNNNNNNNNNNNNNNNNNNNNNNNNNNNNNNNNNNNNNNNNNNNNNNNNNNNNNNNNNNNNNNNNNNNNNNNNNNNNNNNNNNNNNNNNNNNNNNNNNNNNNNNNNNNNNNNNNNNNNNNNNNNNNNNNNNNNNNNNNNNNNNNNNNNNNNNNNNNNNNNNNNNNNNNNNNNNNNNNNNNNNNNNNNNNNNNNNNNNNNNNNNNNNNNNNNNNNNNNNNNNNNNNNNNNNNNNNNNNNNNNNNNNNNNNNNNNNNNNNNNNNNNNNNNNNNNNNNNNNNNNNNNNCCACUAAAAUAAAACCUCAAACACUUUCUCCCCCCCAUUCUUAACAUAAGUAAAUUUCCUUUUUCAUAAGGAGCAUUAAAAAUAAAGCGUAGACAUAAACUAAGAAAACGGCUCCUAUAGAGUACUAUAGUCACUGCGGGUGCCUAACACCUUCCCGUAGUGAAAACGACCCCCGAACUUAGAAUCUAAGGGUUUUUUCUCAAUUUCGCCCUUCCCAAGAAAAAAUAGAGAAUAUCAAAGAUUGAAAGGUUCAAGCCUAAUUUAUGACUUGACACCCGAAAAUCGCGAUAACAAUAACCUAUAUUGAUUUAGCAUUGACACAGUUGGAUAACCUUAGUACACAAAUCAAUGAAAAGUAAAUAUAGAAUCAGUCCAUUUGUUGUAAUAAUGAAAUAAGCAGAAAGUAGAAUUUCAGAGAGAAGGCUAAAGACAAAGCAUCAUUAAGAUAUACAUAAAUACGAAAACAAAUAGAAAAUCUCAUAAAAGAUGCAUUUACAUAAAUUAAGUUAUUAUUGUUCACUAGGUGAGAAGAGAAACUAACAUCUUUAGACGUUAUUUCAUUUCAGUGUUGUCGUUAGUAAUCCCGUGUUAAUAUAUGCAACAAUACCUGUGGAAUUUCCUAAGGAAACGUUGAAAUAAUAUUCGUCAAUAUAUCGCAGGAAAAUCCUCAGCUAAAUAAAAGUUACCUGCGGCUUUUUCAGCGGCGUUAGGAUUCGCAGGAAACUUCGCAUGAAUCCUCAGGUAUUCCUGCGGAUUACUUUCCGCAAACAUAUCCGCAGGCAAAUCGAGAGUUUCUGAAGGCGUGGAAAUUGCAGUGAAUAUGCAUACAUGGUUGCAAAAUGAACUACCACAAAUGUUUCUCCACAUUUUGCCUUUCACUUCCUUCCUUUUCUUUGGCUAUGUGGUGAAACACUAAUAUUAACUUCUAAUUAAUGUUGUUAUUAUUUUAAUCUAUCGUUUUUUUAAACAAACCCAUAUUUAUUCAAUCGGUUUCAAAAUUAAGUUUCAAUGGUUUUUUUUAUCAUUUUUUUUAGGGAAAGAAGCUUAUAGCUUUUCAUUAUUAAUCAAAGUAUGUAUACAAUGUGGAAUAUUAGGAUGAUAAUGGAAACUAGCAUGAUUUAGUGUUUCCCUAGCUAGAUUAUGGGCAACACUAUUGGCUUGUCUCCUAAUGAACUUCACAUCAGAGUUCGCUAAAUCAGUCAUUAAUAGGUGUCUACAAUCGUAUAUUAUGGCCAUGAAAUCUGAGACACCAUCCCUCUUAUAGAUACUUUCUUCCACCACUUUUGAGUCCGUUUCGAAAUUCAUAUUUACCAAAUUUAGGUCUUUCGCCCAUCGCAUAGCAUGUAGGAGUCCUAUAGCUUCUCCCAUUUCCACACCAAGUAAAGGUGUGAAACACUCAGUACAGUUUAUAACAUGAUUUCAAGUUUCAUCUCGAAUACAAGCUCCAAAUCCUACUUUAUUGAGAGAAGCAAAAGGAAGCAUCAAAAUUGUACUUGAAUCUCCCGACACUUGGUUUUGACGACUUACUUAUGUCGAAGUGCAGGUUUCCUGACGAGCUGCGAAUCCUUGUCUCUUGCGCGGUCUUCCAACUAUCUAGGAAAGCCACCGCUCGGUCACCAAUCUGUUGGGUUGUUUCUACAAUAUUAUUCCACACUUUCACUACAAGAAACAUUACAUUUUGUCAGGGAUUUUGACAGGGGCAUGAAACCCCUGGGAAAUAUCCCACGGCCUAAGCCAAGGUAAAUCCCUGGGAAAUGGACAUUGGGGAAUCCGGGACCACAUUGCAGGAGGGACUCACAAAUGCCUAUUGGGAAAAUGGACAUUGGGGAAUCCGGCCUAAUGCUUAUUGUUUAAAAAGGAGGGACUCAAAAAUAGUAUAGUACAAUAAAAUUGUUUAUUUAAAUUAAAACUAUGUUAGAAUUAUUUUUGUUAAAUUAAAAUCUGUUUUUUAAUAAACUAAAAAGAGUUUUCUAAUAAAAAGUAAUAAUAAAAAAGUAAUAUACAAACAAGCCCUUUUAUUUGAACCAAUUAAUUGUAUUUGGAAAACAAAUUAAAAAAAAAAUCAAUUUUUUUAUUAAUUUAAAUACGUUUUAUUAAUUAAAAUUAGUUAUAGAAUAUUUAAUUAAUUAAUAAAAAUUCGGUUUUAUAAAUAACAUAUUUUAAAAAUAAAAAAAAUAUACCAUUUGCCAGGGGUUAAACCCCUCGCAAGUCCUUGAUUUUUUGCUGAUCUGAUUUGACCUUCCAUCAGUCAAUCAGUGCGUCAGUCAGAGCAUACUGCACAAUAGGAAAAAGUGAGGGAAUAUGCCAGGGCUUAUGACAGGGACAAAGUCAAGCCAUAUACCAGGGGUUGAGCCCCUCGUUUUUUUCCCAGGGGUGUAACCCUUGACAAAAUGUUUGCGACGAGCGCUUUUGCCAAUACUUCCGCCCCUGGAAAAUUCCCUCACAAAUGUCCCUUUUCCCAGGGAUUCUGUCCUUUUCUCAAGGAUUUUGCCCCUGGAAAAAGGUAAUGUUUCUUGUAGUGUUUGUUGUUCCUGUGUUUCCAUAAGCUUCAAAGGGUAACCGCAAAAAUCUGCUGUUGAGCGAUGUCUAGCUAUUGGAGUAAGGAAAAAAUUAUAUCAGCACUAAUCAGGUACCUGAAACUUAUGAAAUAUUGAUAAAUUAUGUCAAGAAGAAAAUAUCUCAAUGGAAUGAGAUGGAACCGAAAUGAAGUCAAAGUCGACGUGUUUUUGAAUAUAAUAUAGCGCUAUAUGUGAUAAGUAAUAAUGAGGAUCAUGGUUUAAAGUCUAUUAAAGUUAUAGAUAAUGAAAAUAUUUACAAAUGAAAAGAGAAAAUUCUAUUGAAAUCAAACUCACUUCACAAAGUAGACCUUGUUUGGACUCGUAGUCUGUGUAACGCCCUAUUUAAUUAUUUGAUUAUUUUAUUGGGUUUAGAGUCUAUUUAUAUGAUUUAUGUGAUUUAAAUGAUUAUGUGGUGUGUUGUUGUUUUUAUUAAGUGGCUUAUUUUAUUAUUUAAUAGAAUAAGAUUUGAAAAUAAAAUAAUAUUAAGUUGAGGGGGCUGUUUUGGAAUUUAGAAGAGUUUAGUGGAAUAAGUGGAAAUAAGAUAAAGAGAGUUGAGGAAAUAAAUAGGAGAAACUAAGGUCAGAUAGUUUUUUCACGUGAAACCUGCUUUUGGAGAAAAAGGGAGAAACCAAGAGAAGAGGAGAACCAAAGAGGAGAAGCUUUCGAUCGAUUAACCUAAGGUAAGGGUGGGACUAACUUUCUCUAAUUCUAAGUUGUAUGAUUCUGAAACUGGAUUUAACAAGUUGUAGGUUGUAGUGUUGGGGAUUUGAGAAUUAGGUUUAAAAGUUGGAAAUUGAUUAAUUAAGAGUGGGAAUCUGUUGAAUUGAUGUAGAAAUAGUGUCCAGACCUUAGAUUAUCCAUAGAACAAUGAUUAGAAUCAGUUUUAAGGUUAGAAGCAUGGAAUUAAUUAGGUGAGUUUUUGGUGAAAACUGUAUUCUGCCCGAGCUGACAUUCAUCGCCCGCCAUAGCGAGUAGCUUCUCUCUCCUCGCGCGUGAUGAUCUUCAUCGCUCGCCUUGCGAGUAAUUCCCCUCGCCUCGCGAGUGAACCCAGUUGUCGCUCGCCAUUGCGAGUGAAAUCGCUCGCCAUAGCGAGUUACCCGGUGAGAAAAACAUGAUUUUUGUGAAUUAACGUUUUGGGUCAAGUUUUAGAUGGAUUUGAGUGCCUUAACAUGUUUAGAAAUGAUUAGGAAAUUUUUUAGAUCAAAUUUGGGCAUAGAGAAGUUAAAAAUGUAAUUUUUGAGUGAAAAAUGUCAAACUCCCGAGAGCCAUCAGUUUUAGCUCGCCACAGCGAGUAGCUUACUCGCCAUAGCGAGUACCCCCUUUUCUGAACUCGCCAUAGCGAGUAGAGUGGCUCGGCUCGCGAGUUACUCAGUGGCAGUCAGCCUUAGUUAGAGUUCUUGCGAUCUUUGUCACACCUGAUGUUAUGAGUUGGUCUUUGGGGUAGAAAUGGAAGUUGUUUAUAAAGGUAUAGCCUUUCAGUGAAUCUAAAUUAAAAUGAUUAAUGUUGUUGGUUAAUGUGAAAUACAUAUAUUAUGUGGAAAAAGUAUGAUAUAGAAAAUAUUGUUGUUCAUAUCAUUCAAGUUGAUAUUAUUAAUGUUGCUAUGUUGCAAGUUGUUUUAUGUUGUUGUCUCUGCUGUUGUUGAUUAUUGAUAUCAUUAAGUUGCAAAUGUUAGUCUAAGUUGCAAAGUUGUAAGUUGUUGUUCCAAGAUAUUGGAGUCAUAUAAGUUUCUGAAGUUGUCUAAGUUGUAAGUUGCUGAGUCCAUGCAUGCUCAUUAAAGUUGAGAGCUUGAUGCCCUGUGAGCCUAUUUGCUUUUUAAGUUGAGGGCUUGAUGCCCUGUGAAUAUAUUUAUGCUCUAUAUGUUGGGGGCUUGAUGCCCUGGUUGGUACCACAUGCAUGAUUAAGAUGUUGUAGUUGCAUUGUCGAGUUGAAGUUGUUGUUGUCGCAUUGUCGUUGUUGUCAAGUUGUCAUCUAUCAAUGAGUGGUUAAUGAAGUACUAUAUGAAGAAUUAUUAUUAUUAACUGAUGAUGUUUUUGUUGUUAAAUGCAUUUGAUGAAUUAUAUGCUUCUUAUUAUUGAAUGUGAAAUUUCACCCCUUCUGUUUGAAUGUUGCCUCUACGUGGGUAACGUGCAGAUAACUAAGGAUAGCUGUUGAAGUGAGUUGACUCUCUCACGAGUCGUCUUAGGGUCGCUCUGAUACGUAACGGGAUGGGGAUCUUACUUGUUUUCCAUGUGUUACGUAAAUGUUAUGAUUUUAUGUUGAAGAUUUGCCUAGACUGGAUUUUAAUAAGUUGUUUAAGUUGAGGCCGUUGUGCCAUUACGAUGUUUAAUUUAAUGUUUUCCGCUACAAUGAGAUUUAAAUUGAUGACAUGAGAUGAUUGAAAUAAAUAGUAAUUUUUCUAUAAUUAUAUUUUAAAGAAGUGUGGCAUCCUGUUUAGUUGUUUACUCUGAUUUUAUGCAAAAAAAUUCAAGUUGGGAAAACGGGGUGUUACAGUCUGCACACUUGAAAGUGUGAAAUUAAAUGGAUAUAUAUGAUUUUUCGCACGAAAAGGAAAUUAGAAUGGAUAUAUAUAUAGAGUCUGAUAUGUUCACCUGAAGUUAAUAGGUACAUGUCUACCAUUUAUCUUUAAGAGACAUAUAUUCUGUAAAGAAAUAUUCACCUGAAGUGAAUUCAAGAACUUUUUCAUACUUGAUUAAGUUCAGUACGUAGCACAUAAAAUGCUCAAAUUAUAUGAAAGAUGUGUUACAAUUUAUUUUUAUGGCUCACUUGAUAGUGAUAGUUAUAUGUAACUCCCCGAAGGAUUUCAUUUGCGUAAGACAUACAAUCAAAACUAUUGAAGAGAUAGCAUCAUUUGUCCAUUUUAAGAAUAUGGAAAUGAAUUUCUUAUAAUUGAUUUUAUGAUGAUCAUAUAAAUAUUAUUAGAACUCCUGAAGAGAUUCUAAAAUUAAUUUGUCAUAUAAAGGUCAAUAUGAACAAAUCUAGUUGAUUAUGUAAUAUAAUGAUUGUGAUGUCACUUGAUGUGAGUAAAGAUCACGUCCUCAAGAAAAUUAUGAACAAUUUGAAUUGGUCAGAAACAACAAUAUCAUCCUAUCAUUUGAAAAUGUUAGCACUACAUCAAGGAAAUAGAGAAUGCUCUUUAUUAAGGAUUAUGAUUUCACAUAUACGAGAAAGUUGUGGUUUUCUAGUUUUAUAAGGAGACUCUUUCUACAACUUAAUAUGAAGACAAUAUCUCAAGAAAUGCUAAUUUGGAGAAGAGCAUGGAGAUAUGCCAUAUCUUUUUACAUAGUCACCGUCAAGUAAAGGUUUUGGACAACCAGCAUAAAAGAUUAUUUGACUGUCAUCGUCUCAUAUAUAAUUGUCUUUAUGAGGGGGGGAGACAAAAAUGUGUUCUGCACUAUUUUUCCCUUAACCGUGAUUUUAUCCCAUUGGGUUUCCCUGGUAAGGUUUUUAACGAGGCAGAUUAAGACACAAAAGGUUGUUGUGCUCUUUUUCCUUCACUAGAAUUUUUUUUUCAUUGGGUUUUUCUCUAGUAAGGUUUUAAUGAGGCACAUCCUUCAUGGACAUCCAAGGAGGAGUGUUAUGAAUAAAUGAAAAUAUGAUGUGGAUGUCCAUUGUCCCUAGCCCUUCUAUUUUCCUUAAUAUUUCUGAGUGAAUGCCUAUAUUCAUAGUUAAUGACACUUAGUCCUAUGGCUCUUCAUGUACUUGUAACUUACCACAUGUGUGUCCUAUAAAUAGGACUUAUAUCUCAAUGUAAAGAACACACUUGAGAAGAGAAUAAUACAAAGUACUUUCAUCUUCUCCUUCCUCAUCUUUUUUGAUCUUGUGCUUUUACUUUAUUUUUUAACAAUAGUGGAUGUAUCUAAUAAAGGAGUAAUAAGUUGUAUCUAGAAAUUUGCAUUAGGUCUUAUUUAGGGAGAAACAAAAUCUCCGAAAAAGUCAUAUAAUUAAGGACAUAAAGAGAGUAUAUAUAUAUUGUUAGUUUAGGGUUUUGUAUUAAACAUUAAUCUAGGUUAAAAAUAUCUACACUCGGCCUUGUGAUACACAAUCUAGAGAGGUCUAGUUCAAACUCGGUAUUCCCCGUUUAUUCACCUUAAGGGUGAAAUUACGACCACUAGCAUAAUUGACGAAUAAUUUUUCUUUUAUCUUGCGACUCAGGGCCCUAAAUUUACCAAUGGUUUAAAAGUUUGAACCCCCUAACUCAGGAUCCUGACUACGCCACUGCCCGGGACCCAUGCUAGGUGUUAGGGUGAAUAUUGAAAUUGAAGUAAGUCUCACAUUGAAUAGGUUUCUGGGAUGUUGGAUGUAAAAAUGUGUUUACGUACCCUUAACCUUUGAGAUAGCUUCUAAAAUGAGAUUCAAACCCGUUUCACAUAUUAUGCUAUGCUACUUAUUCCAAGCUGAAAAUGUUAAUAUGCAAUGAGAAGGAUUUAAAUUUGGUUUGCAUACUGUUGUCAUGAACUCCAAUAAUUCCAACAAUCUUUUAUAAAUUGCAUAUUUUUCAAAAUGAUCGAAUCAUUAAAGGCUCAAAUAUUCAAAUAAUUUUAGCCAAAAAUCUAAGAUAGAUAGAUUUAAUAUACUGACAAGUUUCAGUGGGACGGAUCUCUUUAUUAUGCGAUGAAAUCGUGUACUUCUGGACUUAUCAAGGGCUCUUGAGAAUAUAAUUAGUUAUGAUUAAUAGUUAGUUUAGAAACAUAGUUAAUAUAUAAGUCAUAUGGUUAACUUAUUUAUGCUAUCUUUUCGGUUUGUAUAAUUUCCACUAUCAUCAAUACAAUAGGUUUAUAAAUACUGCCUCCGUCCCAAAUUGUAUUUCACUUUAAAAAAAAAAAAAAAUUGUCAUAAAUUGUAUGUCACUUACAAUACCAAUGAAACAUUAAUGUUAAUUUUUCUAUUAUAUUCUUAAUUAUUUAUUACUCUUUCUUCUUUCAAUUCUUUCAUUUAUCUUUCUCAUAUCAUUUAUUAAGGACAAUUUAGUAAGACAACUCAUAAUUCUUUUUCCCACACAAUAUUAAUUAUAUUUCUUAAUAUAUGUGAAAUGCUCAAAAUAUCAUAUAAUUUGGGACGGAAGAAUUAUCAAGUCUCAAAUCAUCAAGUCUCAUUAGGUUUAUAAAUUGCAUCUUUUCCAAAAAAAUCAAAUCAUAGAAGUCUCAAAUAAUCAAAUCAUUAUAGCUAAAUUAAAAUCUAAGGAAGAUACUCCCUCCGUCUCAAAAUAUAAGCAAAUUUUACUUUUUAGGUUCAUUCAAUUAGUGAUGUAUAUGGACCACAUACAUCACUAAUUGAAUGAACCUAAAAAGUAAAAUUUGCUUAUAUUUUGAUAUAGAGGAAGUAGUUUUAGUACUCACAAGUUUCAAUGAGAUCGAUCUCUUUAUUACGCGAUAUAAUUGUGCACUUCUGAACUUAUCAAGGGCUCUUGAGAAGUUAGUUAUGAUUACUUUAGUUAGCGUAUAAACAUAGUUAGUGUAUAAUUUAUAUUGUCGACUUAUUUGUGAUCUCUUUUCAAUGUAUCAUUUACACUAUCAUCAACACAAUAGGUCUGUAACUAUCAAGUCACAAAUCAUCAAGUCUCAAUAAAUUGAAUAUGGUAUAAAUUGAAUAUUUUCCAAUAGGUUUAUAAAUUGAAUAUGGUAUAAAUCGAAGGGAAAUGUUAACUUGUGAUUUAAGGGUACAUGUUAAGGUUUCAAAGAUGAAAAUUAUGCAUCAUAAAUUAUGCCAAUUUACUUCUCACAAGAUUAAACUCUAAUGUUUCUCAAUAAAUAUUUGCGUUUUGGCUCUGUUUGGUAAAAAUAAGCUAUAAUCUAGUUGAUAGUUGAAAAACUCGCUUAUUAAAAAUAAUAUGUUUGGAAAAAUUAGUUGUUGAAGUGACUGAUUAAUAUAAAAUGACAUAAAAGGAUUUUUUUUUCCUUUAUAAAUUAUACAUAUAAUAAUUUUUACUUCAUGUAUUUAUUUUUAAUUAUUUAAAUUUAUUUUUAAUUAUUUUCAUCUCCAAAAUGAUAAAUAUAUUUUAUGAAUUCAAUUUGACAUUUUUGAUUGAACAAUUUUUUUUUGAUGAAUUUUAUUUAAAUAAAUUGCUUUACUAUUAUUUAUCGUAAAUUAAAAUAAAAAAAAAAAGUGAACAACAAAUACAUAAAAAGCGUGAGAUGACAUAAAAAAAUGUUCCCUGGAAAAAGUGAUAUAUAAUGUCCACUAAAAGAAAUUGAUAUCAAACGUAGGUAGUAAGUGGGUAGUUUUGUUUAUUAAAAAAUAAUAAAAUUAAAUUAAUAAGUUUUAAAAUUGGAAGAAAGUAUAAAAAGUUAAAAGCUCAAAAACUACUUAAAAUAGCUUUUUAAAAAACAUCAUAAGCUAAUAAAAAAAGCUUUUUACUAAACAUGUUUCAUUCUAUUAAAACAAAUUUAUAAAUUAACCCCAAAAAAUUAUAAUAACUUAUUUGUAUUAUCAAACACAACCUUUGUAGAAAGCUUAACAUAGCAUGACCCUUUAUUUAUACCAACUACCGUACCGACUAUAUUAUUAUUAUUGGACCUCGCGCUCCAUGAUUUGCUUAGCGAAAUUAAAAUGCAUAUCACGUGUUUUUAGAUUACAAAAGAGAAGAGAUCUUAGAUUUGGUAUAAAAAAAUCGUAGAUGUCAUUUGAAAAGAGGAGUAAGAAGCCAGAAAAUAAAAUUUAACGGAAAGUGACACUUUUAAUUUUUGACAAAUUGACGACACAAUUUUCGGGUGGCAUUUAGCCUGAAAAAGGAAGUUUCUUUUCCACUAUGGGAAAGUCCCUUUCUCCAGGACAGCUGUAGGUUACAACUGGUUAUGUCAAAAAAAAAAAAAAAAACUCAGUUUAGUUUUUUUUUAAUGUUGUUUGUAACAUUGCUAUUGCACCUCUCACUUUCUCACAACAGCACCUAACCCACCUUUCGUUUCUACGAAAAAAGAACACUAGCAGUCGGUCACACUUAACCCAUUGUUCCUCGUCGUUGUUGGGAUCGUUCAUCUCUUAUUAAUUUUUUUCAUGUUAGUUAUACAAAGUAGUUUGAAAAAUAGAGAACAUGGAAAACAAAGUACUAUGAAAUAUUUGAGUAUGUUUGUAUGCAUGAAUACAAAAUUUGUGAAACAAUGGAUUUUUUUUUAAUUAUAUUUCAAACAAAAUGAUCACCGAACCAAACCGACUAGUUUGAUUUGGUUUUUCUUUUAAAAAACAAUAAAAAUUGAACCAAACUGAACCAAACCAAACCGAUGAAGAUGUCAUUGAUUCAGACAUUUUUUUGACUAAAAACCGAUCCAAACGAACGGUUACACUUCUAGUAUCCUUAAUGUUUUUUCUCUCAUGUCUCACAAGUGUAUUCAAUAUCACCAUUUAAUUUUUUUACUCUUAUUUUUAUAAUAAGGGUAAUGUUAACUGGUGUCUCCGGAGCACUGGUUAAAGUACUAAAAAAAUAAAUUAUAUAGUAGUUAUUGCAUUGAAAAUUCGGUAAUUAAUCUAUAAAAGUCAAAAUAAGUGUACUUUUUAUGUAAUAAUUUCAUUUUAUUGUAUCCUUAACUAGUGGCCCGAGACACCGGUUAGAAUGAUCUUAAUCCACUCGCCUAUUUUUUAGUCAAUAUAAUGGUGAGAUUUAAUACACAUGAGAGACAUGAGAUAUUUAUUUUUUUUAAAUAAUCCAUUCUCAUUAGCAUGAUUUAUUUUAAGCAAAACUAACAUUACCCUUACCUUUUAGUAGACAUUGAUUUUCAAAAUUCUAGAAAAAUGACAAUGAAUUACAAGAAUACUGAAACUUGUCCUCGUGAGCUUAGCUCAGUUGAUAAGGAUAAUACAUAAUGUUUGUAAGGUCUGGGGUUUGAACCCUGAACACCAACAAAAAAAAUUAUACCAAAACUUCUUUUUCACGAUAUUUCCAUCGUUGACGUUAACUUUUUUCCCUGAUUAACCCUCCAUUUGUUGUAUAAAUAUAGAGGAAAGAGAUAAAGAGAACAUGAACUUGACAUAUAAACCUGGUUAAUGAGAUAAAUAUAUUUUUAGUGAUUUAGUUUGAGAGGAAAUAAAUUAGGGUUAAAUAUGUUUUAAGUCUUUACAUUUUGCGUCUCUUUGAAGAAUAGUCCCUACAUUUUAUUAAAUGUUUUUAAAAUCCUCACAUUUUAUCUCUGUUAUCAAAAUUAGUCCCUAAAGGUGAGGAAAACACAGGGGGGGUAAUUGUGUUAGCUUUUUCUUCGUUUUCUCCUAAGCUGAAGGAUCAAUUUCAAAUCCAUUCCAUGUAAGUAAGAACAUUAUUGCAGGUAGAGUUGUUAUCAUUGGCUUGUAGCAGAGAAACAAAUUGAGUAGUGGAGAUAGUGGUUAUACACUUCGUACAAUUGUACUUUGUCAACGCUCUUCAAAGAACAAGCAUCUAAUGCCUUCAAAUCCUUUCAAAAUAGUUGUUGCUUCACUCUUACAGUCUUCUGCAAUGCUUAGACGAGAUUAAAUCCAUUGAACAACUUUUGAAGCUUUAACUCUUGCAACUCCUAAUGAGCUACAACUUCUAGUGAUCUUCAGCUUCUGAUGAGAUGCUUCUGAUGAACUUGCUUCUAAUGACGUCAUUACUUCAAGAGCACUUUGACUUUAGGAGCACUUCUCUUCAGAUGCUUCAAGCUUCCUUUCUGUUGAUUCCUUUGCUCUCUUUUAUUCUUCCAGAACCUAAUAAUGAUUCCAAAUUUUUGUCUAUGGUCUUGUACACUUGAACAAAUAUUAUCAUAUCCAAUUGACAAUUUUUAAUACCUUGUUAUCAUCAAAACUCACAAAGGUAAUGUUAAACACAUUUUGUUCCAACAGUCUCUGCUGUUAAUUCUUUAACGGAAUGCUGAUGUGGUAGUUAGUGUGAUCAAAUUAUUUUAGGUUUAAAUACUCCCUCCGAUCUCAAAUGUAAGAAACAAAAAAAUAAAAUUAGUGGUCUUAAAUAUAAGAAAAAGUAUAGUAAAACGAAUCUAUUAAAUGCCACAAUUCUAGGUUUACCCUCAUUAAACCCACCUCAUUGAUGUAUUUACUACUCCAAGACAAGGGUAAAACUAGAAAAAUAUCACUUUUUAUAAUGACUUAAAUGUGGUCAAUCCACUUUCUUAAUAUGUGUGCAUUUUUUGUUUCUUACAUUUGAAACUGGAGGGAAUAUGUUUUUGAUCCUUACAUUUUGCGUGACUUUGAAGAAUAGUUCUUAUUAUUUUAGGGAUUUUAAAAACAUUUACUGAAAUGCAAAUACCAUUUUUUCAAAGUCACGCAAAAUGUAGGAACCAAAAACAGAUUUAACUUUAAAAUAAUUAGGACCCACUAACUGCCACAUCAAUAUUCUGUUAAAGAAUUAACAGCAAAGACUAAUUUUGAUAACAGAGAUAAAAUGUGAGGAUUUAAAAAACAUUUAAUAAAAUGUAAGGAUAUUCUUCAAAGGAGCACAAAAUGUAAGGACUAAAAACAUAUUUAACCCAAUAAACUAAAAUUAAGAUGAGGAAAAAAAUGAGUGUAUAAAUAAGCUCACAUAAAUAUUCUUACCUAUAAAUGAAUGGUUGCAUUGCAAGCCAUAUUAAAUGAGACUGCCUCUUAGAGUGUUAGCCUUCCACGUCCAACCUGUUAAAGAGAGAAAUGCUCCACAUGCUUAAAUUAGGUGGUAGAGGAGCCAUCCCCAUCCAAUUACAUAUUAAUAUCGACAACUUGUAACACUUAAUUUUGAACAUUCUAUCUAACACUUACUCUUUUAUUAGAUAAAAAUAACGAAUGUCCUACCAUUUUGUGUUGGUUUAAUUUUCAAAGUACUUACAAUGAUUUAAACUAAUAAUAAAGUGAGUAUUAGAGAGAGUGUUUAAAAAAGAGUGUUGCAAACAUUAAUCUUAAAUAGAAUCUAAUUUGUGUAUAAUAUUUAGAGAAAAAUUUGUAUACAAAGUACACUAGUUUUCGUUAUAAUUUUAUCCCAAAAUUAUUACAAGAUUAUGGUUGAUACCUAAAAAAGACAAACAAAAAAGAGAAAAACCAUAUCCAAACCGAUAUUCCUCUCCUCUGGAAUAAAAGAAGACAACACCACAUCCACACUCUUGGAGUCAUGGACAAAGGCAAAACCCAACAUCCGCACAAAACAACAAUGAUCACAUCAUGAUAGAGGAAGGUUUCAAUUGACGCCAAUAUCUGACCAAAACAUCCACUAUUAACCAAUCAUAUUGAUGGAAAAAAAAAUCUUUACUAUGACCUUGUGUUUUAACAUUGAAAAAAUAAUAUUGAUUCAUGUCUCUGUUUCCACAAGAGAUAUAGUAAGAAUAUUGGUUUAUAGUUAAGUCUAUGGUUGGACUUGGUCUAUGAAAAAUAAAAUGGAGUGAACUCAAAACUGUUGGAACAAAAUAUGCUUAACAUUACCACCUUUAAGUUUUGAUAAUAAUAAUGUAUUAGAAAUGUCAAUUGCAUAUGCUAAUAUUUGUUCAAAUGUGCAUGACCAUAAUAAAAAAUUAUAAGUCAAGUAUAUGUUCUGAAAGAACAAAUGAGAGCAAUGAAAUUUACAAAAGGAAGCUUGUGCUGCAAGAAUGAAGACAGAGUAUGGAGACAAAGAGCGUCUGAAGACCAUCAGAAGUUGUCUACCAGAAGCUGACGUCAUCAGAGAGUCUAAAGACCGUCAGAAGCUGGAGUUCAUCAGAGUCUGAAGAUUGGAAGUUGGAAUUAGUUAAAAGUUGUUAUUCUUAAUGUAAAUCAUUGCAGAAGGAAUGGAAGCCUGGAGCAACGACUAUUUUAGAGGAAUUAGAAGGCAUUGGAAGCUUAUCCACUAAAGAGCACAGGAAAAUGACAUAGUACAAUUGUACAAUCACUGCCUCCACUACUCCACUCCUCUUGUCUGCAGUAAUACAAGAUAUCAGUUGUGACUACGCUGAUCAUUCUCUAUUCAAGGAAUGAAUUUAAAAUUGUUCCCUCCUAAGACAAUAACCAAAUCAAGCAACAUAUCAUUGAUGAUUAUCAAGCUUCAACGACUCUUUUGAUGUGGUGGCAAUCAACAACGUCUCUUUUACACCUCUAUAUAAAGGAGUGAAGACUUGAAGAUUGUAAGAGACUAACACCAAUUUCACAAGUGCUAAAACUCUGCUGAAAUUGUUUUCACAUCACGUUCACUUAGAAUUUCUUAACAACUUUCAUAUCUUAGAAAUUCUAGAGUUUUAAGAGUUUGUAUCUAAUUUUUAUUGUGAAUAUCACUAAUUGUAUAUCAAGUGUUCAAACCUCAAACAUUUUCUGUAUAAUUAUGUUUGUUUAAAAGUAUCUUGCUUUUAUACUUGAACAUAGGAAAACUGUUGCGUUUAUGCUUGAACAUAGUAAGACCCAUGCAGUUGCGGACGUAUCACUAGCACACAUUUUCUUUUUACAUUCCAUUGUGCUACUACGGAGACUAGCACACAUUAAUUAUAACAAAAAGGGAGUAAUGUCUGCCAAAGAUUAUGAAUGAGAAAUCCAAAAAUGUGUUUAGCUCAAAAGUCAUUAAAAACAAUGAUAACUUCCCGUCGGGUGAAGUCCUUCAUAUUUGUAGCAGGGACAUAGGUUGGAUGGACCAUCUACAUUUUGUCUCCGCCUGCGAUGCUUUCAUUGUUUUUAAUUGACUUCACUAAAAUAUCACAAAAUUAAUGGGCUUAAUUGUCAUUUUAUAUAACUAAUCAGAUUUUACUUCUCACAAACAAACUAAUUAAUGCACGUCCUCGUGAGUUUAGCUUAAUUGACAGAGACAAUGCAUAAUAUAAACAAAGUUUGAGAUUCAACGGCGGAUACCACAAAAAAAAACUAACUAAUACACACUUACUUGUAUCCAUUUCCCCCCUAAAAAAGUCCUUUAUGUCAAGACGACUCCGGUUUGGUUUUUUAUGAGCUUAUAUAAGAAAAAUUGUUCCUUUUUCAUUCAUUUUUUCAUUUCCUUUCUCUCUUCUUUUCUUUCAACCGUUCCCUCUCUCUUCUCUCUCCUGUUCUUCAAUUGCUAUGAAGAUUCCGGUCAACAUGAGUUUUCCGGGCGGUGGCCGCCGACCAAAGGUGGCGGCGCCGCCGCGCCGGACUUCAAAAGUCCGUUUUUUAUUUUUUUAAUUUUCUUUCCCUAUUUGUAUUCUUUCUUUUCAAUUCCAAAAAAAAAGGGUUAAUUAAGUUUUUGGUCCCUAUAAAUAUCUACAGUUUUGUUUUUAGUCCCUAUAAAAAUAAAUCACACUUUUUAGUCCCUACAAAAUUUUUUGUUAUUGUUUUUAGUCCCUGUUAAAUUAAAAUUUGUUUAAUUAUGCUUAAACUUCUAAAUUUUUGAAAGAUUUUUUACGUACAUGUUCAUAACAUCGUAAGACACGCUUUUGUAAAAAAUUUUAGUUUUUUAACAUGUAAUGAAUUAAAUAUGAAUUUUUCUAAAAUCCAAAUUUUCAAGAUUAUAUUAAUAAAAAUUUGGACCUAAUAAUAAAAUUUUAAGUUACUUUUUUGCGGAGGAACUUUGUAUAAUAUUCUAAGUAAGUAUAUAUGUGAAAAAUAUGUUACAAAUUUAAAAAUUUAAGCAUAAUUAAGCAAACUUUAAUUUUUCAAGGACUAAAAGUAUAUGUUGGUCCCUGUUAAAUUGAGAUUUGUUUAAUUAUACUUAAAAUUUUAUAUUUUUAAAUGAUUUUUAACACACAUAUUAAGAACAUUAUAAUAAUCUCUUUUAUAAAAAAAUUAGAAUUUUUUAACAUGUAAUGAAUUAAAUAUAAUUUUUUUAAAACGCCAAAAAUUGAAGAUAUUACUAACGAAAAUUUGCAACUAAAAAUAAAAUUUUGAGCUAAUUUAUUGUGGCGGGACCUUUUAUAAUGUUGUAAACAAGUAUGUAAAAAAUCAUUAAAAAAUUUAAAAUUUUAAGCAUAAUUAAACAAAUUUUAAUUUAACAAGGACUAAAAACACUAACGGAGAAUUUUGUAGGACUAAAAAGUGUGAUUUAUUUUUAUAGGUACUAAAAACAAAACUGCAGAUAUUUAUAGGGACCAAAAUUUUAAUUAACCCAAAAAAAAAAAAAUCUUUAAAUUCCUUCUUUCAAUUGUUUCUACAUGAACCAUCAAUUUUAUAAUUAAUUAUUUUGCCUUAUUCCAAGUCUCGUGCUUCAUGGGUUGUGGAACGACAACUUUGCAAUGCUUCACUUCACCUUGUCUUAAAACUCGUGCUUGGGGGACUAUGGAAUGACAACUUUGCAAUUCAUCACUUCGUCUUAUCCCAAGACUCGUGCUUAGGUGAUUGUGGACCGUUAAUAUAUAAUUAAAGGCACAACUCCCUCCAGAACGGCCCAAACGCCCUGGGCACGUGCUCCGAAGGGCGCCACGACGUAAGGCUUUUAGAAGCAUCUAAACACUCUAAAACAUGACUUGGGGCCCAAGUUGCUUGGACGCUAAUUCGUUGAAAAACAAGCUCACGAAUGGCUAUAAAUACCCCUCUUCAGAUCAUUCUCAAGACAAUACCUAAACAGUUCUAAACCCUAAUUUCAAUAUUAUACUCACCGCAAGUACACUACAAUUUCAAUUUCAGUUUCCUAAAAUAAUAUAUAAAAAAAAAAAAAAAAACUAAUUCCCUUCCCACUUAUAUUUUGUCUCUACGGUCACUCCUUCUCCAUAUUCUUAGUUCUUGCCGACAACACCCUCUGCCUUCUUAUUCUUAUUCUUCUAUUUUGGAGAGUUUCCAUUCUUUUUUUUUUUUUUGGUAGAUAGACGAAAUGACAAAGCCAUUAUAAACUCACACACACAAGUGGAGGUACCGAGGUUCGAACCCCGGUCAUGGCAUCCGGCCUAACAAUAUCGACAUUUUUGAGAGUUUCCAUUCUACACACACAAAAUGUGACUAUAAUUCUUCAUCUUCUUUGUGUUGAGAUCAUCAAGUUCUCCAUGAUCACCAAUCACAACUCCAUUAUUUCACCUCUUCAUUUUUUCUUUAGAGAUGUUUGAAUGAUGGAGUACAGAGAGAUUCAUACAUUUUUUUGGGUAUUCAUCAUCUUCAUUUUUGCAGUUGAAAGCACACAUCAAUUAUUGAAAACGAAUGAUAGAACUUUUCAAAAUCCAAGUUAAGGUACAUGUUAAGAUACAAAAAAAAAAAAAAAAGUUUUUAUUGAAAAACAUAAUAUUUCAACUUUUAAGAAGUUGAAUGUACGACUUUUGAUACGUAUAUUCUUAUAAUUAAUUUCUUGCCCUUGAGAACACAAGUUAGCAUUUGUCUUCACAAUAUUACCGAUGUAAUUCUAUUUUUUAUGUAAUUAUCGCAGUGCAUAAACUGCAAAGCAUACAAACAUCCAUUUAUUUGCAUCACACACAAUACAAUACACACUUUUAAGACAUCACUGCCACAUUUAUUGAAUACAAACAUCACACUAAACAGUUGUGUGCCCAAAAGCCAACCCCAUUGGACCAUAAGUCCUUAUUUAAUAUAAUAUCUUCAUGACUUAUAGUCCAUCUACUUUUUCCCCCUUAACAAGAUGACCAUCAAUAUCUCUGGUCCCUUUGCUAAGGUAGUCCAUCCAGCCAUUUGGAGUCUCAACUUCCUCAUUGUUCUUCUCAUAAUCAAUAGUCCAUCUAACAGCAGAACUUCCAUCUGCCUUGUUAAGCACUUCUAAGAUGAGCUUAAAGACCUUGUAGUUUUCAAUAUCUCCACCAAACAGCUUGAAAGUGAUUUUUUUGUUCUGCUCAUCAACUUCUUCAACCUGCUCAUUGCAUGUGUGUACCU